UACUGAUUUUCCAGUCUGUCUACUCAAGAUUGGGGCUUUCUAAGAGGGGAGGGGGGAUGGGGACCAUCGCCUGGGGGGAUGUGUGACAUGGUGACAUUUAUUUACAGUAUGACUUUCUAUGAACUGUUUAGGCCAUUGCAGCCAUUCAGUGGCUUCUUUCUGAGCUCUUCCUUGAUACAUUGUACUAGGACAUGAAGCUUCAUUGCAGCCUUUGACUGGCCUCCUUCUGAGCGCUUCUUUGCUACAUUGUAAUAGGACAUGAAGCUUUGGGCAAUGCUGAAUUGAUAUUUCCCAGAUGUCUUUUUCUUUCUGGGUAGCCUUGUGUGUUCUCAUAUCUUAGCUCAAGCAGAUGGCUCUCAAUAUGUAGAUACCUCCAGAUUCAGGAGCUGAAUUCUUUGGGGGGUCAGAUGAAAUUCUGUGGUCAGCAAUUUAACAUACACAGUAUCCAAAACACUGGCUCCCAGCUAAUGAAGGCUGUGCUCUUAGGGAACCAUACUUGUAGCUUAUAAAAUGGAAUGUAUUAAAGUACCCAACAAAGGGGCAGAACAGGGCAAGACUUUACAGACUUCCUGGGACUGCUUGUGCCUCUUCUACCUUAUGGGUAGCAAGUGUUUCCAAAUGUGACUCUUUAAGUAAGGAGGAAUCUCUGUACUAUGAAGGGAUUGGUGCUGGGAGAGACACACUCACCGUGCUGCUUCAUAGGCCUUGACAUGUAACUUAAAAUAUUUUAAAAAAAUUCUUAGGCAUUUAAUGCACUCUGUCAGUGGCUGGGCUCUGAAAAGCUAGUUUUUAAUAGAAAAGACAUUUAUCUUAUUUUCUCUCUUGUUUUUCUACUGUCCUGUGUCUGCCUCCUUGUCUAAAACACAAAUUUCUAUAUCAUUCACUUCACUUAUAAAUACCACUUCCAUUUUGUUUCUCUGUAGCUUAUUGCUAGAGCUGCUAAUAGACUUUCAACACAAAUGGUGUAUUGAUCACCGAAAUCUCUUUCGAGCUUGACUGAAUAUACAUAAUGGAGUGUCAAUCGGAGGAAAAUCUCAUAAUAAAUGGCAGGCGACUUAUAUUCAUGAGAAAAAUGUCUUGGGCAGCACACAAAAUAUCAUGUCUACUGUAGCAUGACAGGCUCACCUCACCAGUCUCGGCCGGUCUGUGCGCAUUCAUGGCGUAUGUUUAAUAUCGAAGGCAGGGUUAGAAUGCCAAGUUCCUGAAUCUUUCCUUUGUUUGUAUGAGAGGCAUUUUUGUACACUCCACAGAGUAUAAACAUCUUCUAGAAGCACCGCCAGCAAGAAAGAUCUUUUAUACCUGAGGAAUUCAUAAAUUGCAAACAAAUCUGUUUGAGUUGAUAUAUAUUUAAAAUCAGCUGAUUUAUGCAGUCCAUAUUUUUAAAUUUUUUACCAUGUGUGUACCAGGGCAUACACACACUGUAUGCAAAUAUUUUCAAUGCAUGUAUGGGAACACACAGUAUAUUUAGAGAGAAGCCUGUUUUACAUAAAUUAUUUUUAAGAGCAACCAAACAGAGGAAUAGCCAUGCAUUAGGAAAGCCACAUUUUAAUCCCUCCACACCCCCCUUUAAGCUUACUGUUGGAUGGUAUGUGAAGGAAUUUCAUAUUUAUAAUUUUAUAUGAAAUUCUGUUUUUCCUGCCAGAAGUCUUGGAUUAUUUCUGCAAACCCAGUCCUGGAGAGGCUGAGGCAGGAGGAUAGUUGUGAGUUCAAGGAUAGCCUGGGCUACAGUGUGAGGCCCCCCUGUCAAAACAGUUGAAUUUCCAUCCUUGAUGGCCCACCCCUUUAAUCCCUUCUCUUGGGAAGCAGAAGCAGGGGGAUCUUGGUGAGUUCCAGUCUAGCCAGAGUUACUGAGCUCGUGAUGAACCCAAACAAAAUGGUCAAUCAAUACAAUGGAUUAGGGUGGCAGGAUCCCAAGAGCUUGCUAUCCAGCAAGCCUAGUCUACUCGGCAGCCUAUAAGCCAAGGAAAGACUGUCUCAAAAAACAAGAAAGAUAACACCUGAGGACACCAGCUGGGGUUAACCCUCUACCCUCAUACUCUCAGGCACCCACAUAAACAUACACCCACAUGCAUGCACAGUUACCACUUCUACUAAUAAUAAUACGUAUCAUUUCUCCUGAUAGAGCAGUCUGAGAAGCUAAGUGUCCUAAGUGAGAAGGGACCUUCAGGGUGGGGCCUUCAGGUGGGUGAUGGUAGGCAGGGCCCAGUUCCUUUAUGCAUUGACUUGGCAACUAUAGCUGCUGACUGUCUAUAAAGAAUCCCGCUACCGAGGAAUCAUGGGAGUCCACAGCAUUAGCUGACACACUGCUCCACCUCACGGCAGACCAGAAUGUGAUGUUUCUCCAGUCAAUUGGGCAAGAUACAUCCCUGUUGCCAUCAGACGUGUUGCCUCUUCUCUAAGCAAAUGGAGCAAGCGGCUUCUGCCACUGCCCAGAAUCAAAUCUGGGGUUGUUUAAAAAUAUAAUGACUUAGUUAUGCAUGCGGUGUGCCUGGUGGUGAACAUACCACACUGCGCUGUGGCAGUCAGAGCUUGUGGGAGUCGGUUCUCUCCUUCCACCAUGCGAGUUGCAGGGAUCAAACCCGGGUAACCCGGCUUGGCAGCGAGUUCCGAUAUGCUGUGGCUGACAGGGGCAGGGGAGAUGUGCAAAAAGAAAUUGAUGUUUAGAGAGAUGGCUCAGUAGAUAACAGCACUUGCUGCAUAAUCAUGAGGUCCUGAACUAAGGUGCCAGCACAUACAUAACAAGCUCACAUGGUCGUAUGCGCACUAUAACUUCAGUACUCGGUGUGGACAGAGCCAAGAGAGCCACUGAGGCUUGGGAGCUGCCAGCCUGGGAUCUCCAGGCUCGGAGGGAGAUCCUCCACAGAGCAGGACACCAAGCGUCCUUCUGUGGCUUCCUUGUAUAUACGUAAACACAUACACACCUCGUCACCCUGCGGACAAAAGUCUGCUUCUGCUUCCUAAAGCACUUAAGAUGCAUUAACGUGUGGUGUGUUAUGGUUUUUCAUGGUCUCCACCUCGGGAGACAUUCACACUAGUCGGUGUGUAAAUCCGGGCAAGUAAGGCUGCUGAGGUAUGGAGAGCGGACAUUAAACUCCAACCUUCCCUUCCCAUAGCCAGAACUUGCACCUUUCUUCCCUGUUAUGCUGGUGAAAUGUUUCUUUGCUUGUUUUUAUUUUUUAAGUUUUUGGUUAUCAGAUGGAUGGGGGGUACAAAGUUUGCUGAGGAAAUGGAGUAUCAGAGAGCUAGUAUUUAGAAGUUCAGGGAUGUGCGUUAUGGAAAAGCUGUCCUUACUGUUAAAUGGUUACUAUAAAACAUGUCUGAUGAAUAAUCUACACAUAUUGCUAUGUACGUCAACAGCUUGGUUGCGAUUAAAUACUGUGUAGGGUGUGUGUGGCUCUUCAGAGUCCGCUGCAUAGCUUAUGCUCGGGGACUAUGCUGGUGCAGUUUUGUGAAAGGUAAGUUUAAACUCAGCUGUAAGAACAAGCCUCAUGAAUUUUAACCUGCGGAGAAGUGCAUAUGCGAAAGUUGGAAGAAAACUGGGGCUUCUUGGAUGUCUGUGAUGAAAGAGAAAAAUGAAAUCCUAGAGAAAGGAAACUUGGAAAGGAAAAAAAAAUAUUCCCGAAGAAUUUGAGUAGGAAGUCUGCGUUUGUAGACCUUGCUUGUCUUGAAUGUUGGGUGGUUUACUGAUGUAGCUCACUAAAGUGAGACAGGAAAGAAUUAAAUGUUUUUUCUGUGGACUUGUUGGCAUAGGCCUAGCAUUGGACCCCCGUGGUACAUUGCUCACAGGAUCCAUUUUCUCAUUGAAACCAACAUUAACGUAUCUUUUGGCUACAUAUGAUCCAGUUCGGUAAUAUAAAUAAACACGCUACUUAAAUACAUUGUUUUCUUGCCAAUUUUAAACCUAUACUUAGACUACAGUUUUAAACUUAUACUUAGAACAAAAUUGGGUAGAAUCAAAAAUAUAUCCACUAAAUUUUUGGUAAUGCUUUCGCAUCGUUUAAAAAUAUAUUCAAGGAUCAGGGAGAUAGCUCGGUCAAUAGAGUAGUGAUCUGAGUUAAAUACCUAGAAACCAUGUUAUAAAAGAGAAAGUGGGGGAGGCCAGGGGUGACAAUGUAUGCUUGUAAUCCUAGCAUUAGCGAUACAGGAAGCAAAGCUCGCUGGGUGCUUACUCACCAGCCAUUCUAGCUGAAUAGUGAGCUCCAGGUUAGUGAGAGAUCCUGUCUCAGAAAAAUAAGGUGGACAGUGACUGGAGGGUGUGCUCUGGCCUCUCAUGGAUGUAUAUGCACUCAGAAUCAGGUAAUCAGGUAUACAUGCACACACGCGUAUGCAUGAGGAUACUCGCACACACACACACACACACACACACACACACACAGUAUUCAACAUCACCUAAAAAGCAGCAGAACGCACAGCUGUUUCACAAGUGUGACGUCACCACCCACGGAGUUUGCUGUUCUGUGGCACAGAGGUUAAGAAAGAUCUAGAUGACCCUGCGCGUUCAUUUCACGUAACUGCGUUUUCAGCAGCCUAAAUGCAGCCAUGUUUAGCAUUACAACAACCGAAUGGAAGGGCGGCUGAAACUAGUUCUCACGGUGAUGUAAAUGGGACACAAGGAAAAUAUGGUAGAUGAAGAUGAUAAUUUGCUUUUAAAAACUCGCGGCAUUGGUUUUUAUCCCACUUUAAUAAAGCACACAUUUGGGUGAAGGAAAAUUUCAUUGUAUGAAGCAGCACAGCCCUCCCUGCAUCAUUGGAGUCAUUGGGUAUAAAUGACUUUUAAUAAUUUAGCUUUCUGUUUAGUGAAUAGUUUAUUUUAGGUUUUAUUGCUUGCUAAGGGAAAAUUGAGAGAGAUUUGCUUAGGGUGAGUAACAGAGCAUCGUGCAAGUUGGUCUUCCCAAGGAAAUACUGAAACUGAAAAACCUCCAGCUCACCUCCAUGUGUCUCUCAAACCGCUAUCUCACCAUGGAAGCAAGAAUAACGUGAAGUCUGUAGGAAUGCCUAGCAUUCUUAUCAAUAAACAUGCAUUAGAUAAGAACAGGACAUAGCGUAAGGAGUCAUUAAGUACAUUGAUGCUUAAAUGUAUACGUCACUUCACAUGAGCCAAAACCACUCCUGUUUAACCAAAGCUUACCACUCAGACAUGCCUAAAUGUUAUAUAGAAGAAAAGGAAAACAGGUUUGUUGGUUGUUUUCUGGGCGGUUGGGGAAAAGGUCUCAGUGGGUAAGGCACUUGCAGAGCAAGUGUGAGGACCUCAGUUCUGGUCCCCAGCACUGCACGAAGUUGGACACGGCUAUCACGCAUCUAUAAUUGCUUCCCUCUUAUAUUGACAUGGGAGGUGGAGAAUCCCAGGCACUGGCAUACCUGUGUGGAACAGAGCCCAGCCCCAGACAAGGUGGAAGGAGAGAGGUUGAGCACCCAAGGUUAUCCUUGACCUUCCCAGGAACACCACGGCCUGUGCGACCCAGAGAUUUUAUUGUUGCUAGGCAGAGUUACCAUAGCCUGCCAGAAACCAAGUGGUGAUUUUUUUUGUUUUCAUUUGUUUGAUGGGGGUGAGGAAGCUUUUUAAGGAGCUAGAUUCUUUUUUUUUUUUUUAAGUAAAAAAAAAAAUCUGUGAAACCAACAGACUGUACUUUAAGUUGAGUUUCCUCUUUCAUCUCGCUGUGGCUUUGGCCCCCUUCGGACCAUGUUUCGGCCACAGCGUUGUAACAGUAAUGGUAUGCAAACCCAGUGAAAGAGGAACUGGAUUUUGACUCAUCCGAGUAGAGCUGGCCUUGCCUAUGGAUUCUGUCCUCAGGGAUAUGAAUGUCCAAUGUCAGAGCCAGUGUGAUUCUUGGACUAGGCAGCCACACAUUCUUCAUGCCCUUCACCUCAUUGGUGGAGAGCCCCCUUUGCUUGGCAUGGAACCCAGCCUUGUUCAUGCUCCUACUAAGUUCUACCCAAGACCCAGGUUCUUUUCUGAUCUCUAGACACCUGAGCUUUUCCAUAAAGCUCUUCAAAACCAUUUUUCCCCUCUUAUUCUUACAAGAUGACAACUUACAGAAUUCACUAUAAGGUUCUUAAAAUGUGAAGCCUACUCAGAUCCAUGAGAUUGGGCUCCUGCAUUCGGAUUCAAUCCUUGGACAUCGUUUUUUAGGGAAAGAACAAAAGUUUAAGCCUCCAUGAGGGUCUACCUACGUCACGAAGUGCUAGCUUCUGCCAAUGCUCUCUGCAGACGCUCCUCGGCCCACUGUGUACAUGGCUGAGAUGUCUUAAAGCAGGCAAGCAGACAGCCUCUAAAGCUAGAAUUCAAACUGAUAGCAAAAUACCAAACAAAACAGCACACGGGGAGGAUUUAGAGCAGCGACUGCUGAUGCUUCUUGGGAGAUGUUACUAAACUCAAGGAAACUGGCCAAAUGCCAGCAUUUUCUUCUUUUCCUUUGUAGUGCCCAACAGAUACCAUUGAAAGUGACCAUGACGACAGAACCCUCUUGGCUUUACCAGCCCUGAACAUGAGCUCAUUUGGUUGUGUACGGAGUCCGCAUCCUCACCUUCCACAUGCUGUGGAACGCAGCGGCACUAGACAUGCUCUCUGUACAUACAGAUUCUUUGAGCUUGAAAAAUGCCCAGAGUACCUAAGGAACUAAAUGUGUCACCUUACUUAAAAUUUUUUAGAUGUCAUGUGUUUUCUACAUAUUGGCCCGUCCAGGUUUGAUGACUGACGGGCAAGUGCUGGCCCUGUACUAAAGUCCUCAGUGCUCUGUUUGGUGGCUGGGUAGUGUGAACCAUGGUGUGCCCAAGCAUAGCAGUGGCCCUGCACAGCCUGGGGCUCAGGCUUGGUCUAGGAGGACCACGUCCUCCUGGGAAUCGGUGUAGGGUGCCACUGCAGCAAGACUUGGUGCCUAGCUUGCCACCAAGGCCAAUGGCGUGGUGUGACUUUUAAGUGCUCUUGAAUAGGUGAGGGAAGCCUUUGUAUUUCCUUGGGUGUGAGUGUGCUUCCGCCACUGCUCACGGGCUGGUUUCUCUCUCUCUCUCUCUCUCUCUCUCUCUCUCUCUCUCUCUCUCUCUCUCUCACACACACACACACACACACACACACACACACACACACACACGGCUAACAGCUCAAGGUGGCUUGCCUUUUGCAAUCCUGAUUUCUGAGUCCCAGACUCUACAUGGCUGCAGGCCUGUAAUCACAGCCUGCUGAGAUUUACCAUUUCUGAGACUGAGCGAGGUGAGGAAACCUGUCUCAUGUGUGUGUGUGUGUGUCUGUGUGUGUCUGUGUGUGUCUGUGUCUGUGUCUGUGUGUGUCAGUGUGUGUCACAUGCAUAUCAUCCCCUGUCCUGCCCACUGUCACCUCCUCCCUUCGUUAUUCUAGUUGUUCACUGUCCCAGCAUCUGCAAAGUGCUGAGCCAUGAUGGUACUUUUGGAAAAUAUAACCCAUCUUUGCCUCCUUCUAUCACAAAAUAAGGCCCUUAAAGCAUUUCGGACAAGCACAGCUGUAAGGAACAAUGGCCAGUCCAUUUCCCUAGUUCCCUGACUCCAGGAUGGCUAGAUCAAAGCUAGCCCAGUGGCUUCAUCUUGAUCCUUCCCGGCUGAGCCUGGGGAACUCCCAUUUCAAGAAUUACUGGUGCUUUGAGGGUGUCCUCAGAUGUCUGAGCCAUGAUUUCAAAGACAUCUGCCUCCAUCCCAGGAAGGUCCUCAGGAAUUUUCUCUGGACAGGUUGGUGUAUGGCCGUGCAAGCAUUGGCCCUGCUUUUGAGUGAUCUUUGGGUCUCCCUCCAUCUCGUAGGCCCUUCAGUCCACAUGGCCUCCCUGACUGGCUGGGCUGGAACAGCUUUUCCUGAUAUGAUCACUGUUAGUGCUACCACUGUGUCCACAGUAAGUUCCAGGCCGCUGAGGGUCGUUGCAAGGCUGACAUGCAGUCAGUGCUGACAGCCGACAGAAUUCCUCACUUCACUCAGCCUCAGUGGGACAGAGGGAAGCGGUGAAUCCCAGUGGGCUGUGACUACUAAAUUGAGUAGGACAUUUCCACAUGCUUGUCACUGAGAGGCCAUUGUGGUGGGGCGUGCAUGGCCAGCCUUUCUCUCUCUUAGGUUACCUCCCUGCUGCAGACCUUCUAGAGCCAAGGGUACAUUGGACUGGGACCUGCCGCCUCCCUGCAACACUCCUAGGCCACGUCCCUUAGCAGCUCCACAGGCCUGAUGCUUACGAGGAGGCAGACAGCUCCGGGAGGCCCCCACGCACGCGCCUCCUCACCAACAAGGCCUGGGCCUCCAGGGAAAAUGCUCCUCUACUCUUUGCUGUCAGGCUUGGGGCUGACAAUUAAGCCACUGAAAAAAGAACAAUUCACAACAGGCCUACACAGAGAAGUCUUUUCAUGCCUCGAAUGGCCAAAUCGUCCCCAUUGGCACCAUUUAUGUCUUGUGUAUAGGGGGGACUGUACUUGAAAAUGGUCAAGAAGCCUUGCUCAGAAAGGGGUGUUUGGUGGUUCUAUGGAAAGCAUCCUGAGAGAGUUUAUUGUUUCCAGCUGUUAGGUGGCCCUGGACCAAGAGCUCUGAGUUUGCUCAGUGGGGGUUGUGGGGGUGUUCUGACACAAUGGCGGUCACUCUGGCUGGCAGAGCCUCGGUCAUUGAGACUAUAAGGUGGGGAGGCUGCUUCAUGGCUUCAAUCAGGUCACAGGCCCUGCCCAGCUCCAGAGCCAUCCAAGAUAGGAUGCAGUGGCCUGUAUGUGUACAGGGCCAUGGAACCCAGGGCCUGGAACACACUGAGCCUCUGGCUUGGGCUCAGUGGUGGCUUGAUGAUGUCAUAGUGCCAAAAGCUUGCAUAGAAAGGACAAUGGCUUGCUGGCCCGAGUGCUCUACCCACUCACAAAGAUGCUCACAGACACCCUUUGAACUGUUCAUACAGGCAUGUUGGUCUGAAGGUGUCUUCAGAGGGACCUGGUGUGAUUUUUAAGAAUAACAGAGCAGCUAGGAAGCCCACCUUGAGUCAUCUGCUCCCACUUGGCUGGAUUCACCAAGUCAAGUCUCUUUUGCAGUUCCUGUCAUGCCCUAAUAGACUAGUGGAGAAGCAGAUGCCUAUGGAAUGUCCUUUGUGUCAGGGUAGCACCUAGCUACCAGGCCAGGGUCAGGGACAGGUGCAUUGGCCACCUGGCCUCCUGGUCCUUGAGCAGCAGCAUCCGAGAUUUAAGGGAACUUCUGCGCCACUGCACCCCCACCCCUGUGACCACUGUGUUAACUUUGCAACAUUGUCUGGGCUGGGUUUCUGACUGGCUGUUUCCAUGUUAUCUCUACAACCACCCAUGCAUUUUGCAAGUAAGGAAUCUGGACAAGAGUGGGCAGGCCAAUGGCUCAAGGUAGUGUGCCUCUUACCAUCCUGCUGAGGUCUGGACUCCAUACAGUCUUAGCCCAGGCUUCCAGACCCUCCACACCACCCACUCCAGGUGCCUCUGAGUCAUGAUCUGUGAAGAAGAAAAGGAAAGAUAGAGCCAGAGGCUUCGUGUGCUCUAGACCUUCAUUUCCCAGAGCUGCCGCCUCCCAGCUGGGCUAGAAGGCCCCUGCAGCCAUCCACAUACUUCCUAGGCCCCACUCGAUUCUGUCUGACGUAUAAAUGACUCAUUUCCUCAACUUUUCCUUUUUCUUUACUUAUUAAGACAAUGAACAUCCUGCACCGGGAUUUAUAUCUGUCUCAAUUAAAUGUUCCAAAGGCGAUCAGAACUGGGUUUUUGUGUGUGUGUGUGUUGUUGUUGGGUUUUGUUCCUUUUUCUUUUUCUUUUCUUUCUUUCUUUUCUAAUAUUAGACCCUGUAUCAACAAAAUCUGUAGCCAUGUCCCUCACCCUUGGAGAUGGGCUUGGGUGGGGUCGUCUCCCAGGCACCAUGUAGGACAGCCUUAGCCAGAAGAGGGCAGAAGGAAAGACGUCAGUUAACUUUCUUGUUACUGUGACCAAAUAGUCUAAAGAAUCAACUUAAGGGUGGAGGGGGUUAUUUUGGCUCACGAUUUGGAGCCCAUCACAGUGGGGAAGGCACAGCCGCAGAAGCACGAGGCAGCUGCUCGCAGUGUGUCCACAGUCAAGAAGCAGAGAUGGGGGACACUUUAGUACAUACUCCUUCUAAAGCAGUCUGGGAUCGUGGCCCGUGCAAUACCCCUGUCAACAUUUAUGGCAGGUCUUCCCACCUCAAUUAACCCAGCCUAGCUAAUUACUCACAGACAUGUCCAGAGGCCUUCGACGAUUCUAGGUCCAGUCAAGUUGGCAAUCAAUAUCAGCCAUGGAGAUUGAAGGGCAGGCUAAUGCUUUGGGGCACACAGUGGGUAUCACCCCUGGUGCCCCACGGCCAUGUCAGUGAAACGAGAACAUAAUGCAGAUGGGCACACACCUUGGGGUGGGGACGGGGGGCACUGGCUGUAAGCCUCCAUGCAGGGAUUAGCUACUGAGUCUAUCCUUGAGUGCAACAGAGCACAUGGAUUCAGAGGUCUGGGGACACACCCUGGCUACACCUCCUCAUGGCUGUGCGUCUUUGGGCGAUUAAUCGAACCUCUCAAAGAAUCAGACGUUGACUCUGUAAAAGAGUUUCGUUGCCACCCUGAGAAGCAUGUUUAGUUCCUAGAAAGGGCUCUUCAAAGCAAACCCAAGUCACAGCAGCCAUCCAUAUAGACAGAGGCUGCCAGCCGCUCUAGCCUUCUGAAACCAGAAGAGGUCCCUGCCAGCCACGUCUCAAGAUUCUGGGAGAAUAUUUGUCUUAAGGCUUAUUUAUUCUGCUUAAGCCAUGCUGAGUCCCACAGAAGAGAGUCUGCUCUGUCUUCUGCUUGGUUUUUUUUGGGGGGGGGGGUUGUUUGUUUGUUUGUUUGUUUUUUCCGAAAUUGCUUCUUGAAAAUGAGGUUAAGGCAGGUAUUGGUUCAGCUCUGGAACCAGGCUUGGGGCUCCCAGAAUCCCUGCCCUGAAGUGUUUGCACAGCAUGACUGUGUUUUCUUCCUUUGAUACCCUGUACUGAGUGGGGGUGGGAACAGAGCUCCACCUGCUGCUGUAUGUUCUGACAGACACCUGUCCCUUUCCAGAAAGCUCCUCUUAGGCUCAGACUGUGCCACACCCAGUGGUCCUUCCUGUGCUGCAGCUGGGCUGGCUAUGGCUGUUCACAACCUCCAUCCCAUAUCCAAAGUCCACCAAAAAAAAAAAAAAAAAAGACAUCAGGUGGCACCAGGGCUUCUGUAUUAACAAGGAGUGUUGCUUCAGAACUCACCCAGCCCUCUUGCCCUGGCUGCUCCUUGGUGGGACAUUCUUAGCCUUGUGUUGGCAGACAGGAUGUAAGUAUGGUUCAGGGGACUAGAAGUCCCUCCUAUGGUUGCCAGGCACCAAGAACACAGACUGCCAACUGUGUAAGCCCCGGCCUGCUGUCAUCCUGGCAUCUUCAUCUCCUUCACACCCACGCACUCCAUCCAGAGCUGCCAUUAGCCAGAGCCCUUCCUUUCUCUCUGGACCCCAGGUUUCCCAGACCCACAGGGGCCAGGGCCUCUCCUACCCCUCCCCACAGCCACUCAUCAUCCAGGGGCAUCUUUCCCACAAGAAUGUGUUUGGUUUCCUCCUUCUUCUCCUUGACUGGACAACUUCUCCACACCUUGCAGUUUUAGCUGUGUGCUUGGGAACUGUUUGCUUCUCUAGCUGUAACAUUCACCAAGGCUGGGCUGUGUCUGUUACUCUCUGUACCUUCUCCCUAAACAGUCCUGACCAUCCAUCAUAGCUCAGAAGUGGAGAAAUGAACCCAAGAAGACAUACAGAUUAAGAAAUGUCUGGAGACCGUGGGCUCAAGUGAGAGGACCUAUUGGAAAUAACUGGAUGAGCUAAAGGAAGCCCCCAAGCUCACCCAGUGGCUUCCUCAGCUUUUAAAGCUACCAGGAACCACUCAGAGCAGGCAGCACAAGUAUUUCUGGGAGCAUGGAGGAAAAAGGCAUUUCCUCUCCCCUAAAAGGUAUGCUGGGGACAUCACAAGAGCCUAACGUGGCUCCUAAGGGCCUUUCAUGGGUACAGGUACACAGUCUCGGUUCCCUUAUAUCUGAGCUUUCUGGAGUUGUUUGUCCUCAGUCAUUUCUCACCCAAGGAGGAAGUGGGGGCUCAGAGAAGCUGGUACCGCCUUCUCCCCUCCCCUCCUCCCCUUCCCUCCUCUCCUCCCCAUGAACCUGCACUGAGCAGUCCUCCCAGGAAUGCUCAAAACUGCCUUGCCACUGUGAUCCACACAGCUGUUUCCAGGUUAUCGGCAAGACGGGGAUCUAGCAUAGACCAGGGCAGUUGAGAGAUGGUGAGGGUUUAUAAGGCAGGCUGGAGUUCCUACAGAACGUCAGUGCUGUCUGGAUUUGUCCAGCAGGGGUUUACCAUGUAUAAUUGAGUGUCAACCAAGCAGGCUGGAGGUCUCAUCCUCAGACUGAGUGUUGUCAAUACCUGAGUGGAAUUUGGGGGGACAUGGAUGGUAACAUAGAUGAGGAAAAAAACAGACUCCGGUCUCCUGGAGUGUGGCCCCAUUUGUAUCUACAUCAGCAUCUGGGGGCUGCAUGAUGGGGGCCAUUUGGUGACACACAGCAAGGAGAGUGACAUUCACGCAGGCAGAUCUAUAGCAGGCAGAAUCGUGAAAUGGUGGCGGGAAGUGAGACAGUUAAAGGAAUUAGACUGAAGAACAGAACUCAGACAGUGGCUGCUGGAACGCAGGGGGCACCAGGCAUGGCGGUGAGUACCCAUAGUCCUAGGUGUGGCAGAAGCACUCGGAUCAGGAAUUCAAGGAUAACCUCCAUUACAUAGAGAUUUGAAGUUAGUCUGAUCGCCAUGAAGCCUGGGGUAUGAAAAAUAAUUGAGAAAAAGAAUUCAGGAGGCUAUUAAAUGUGAGAAUGUGUGCCUUGGUGUGUGUUGUCAAGACUUCAGACAUGCCACUGACUGGCUCUGUGGCCAGGGAGGAUCCCUUAACCCCUCUGCGGUGCCCAGAACAGCUUCUCCCCAGGAUGCUAUACAAAGGGCUUUCCCCAUUCACAGAGGGAAUCCCCACCCCAUCCCCAGGAGUAGCACUGCCCAAGCACCCUUGCCAGUCCAGUGUCUCCAUCCUGGGGAAAUUCACAGAAAUUCCCAGGUAGUGCUGGUAGGGCUCCGUGAGGCUCGUGGGAGAAUGCACAGUCAUGGUCGAUGUUUCUCCAGCUCACCCUGCCUCUUACCCUUCUUCUGCUCUGCUGUCUCCCGCCUUACCUUCCUGCUUGCUCUCUGCCAGGCUCUCAAGGCCAUGGUGUUCUUCGUUUGUAUCCUGCUGCUGCCCUGAGGACAGACUCCAGAUCAUUCAGACUAGGACCUCAUGCAGCUAGCAGCAGUUGAAUUUCUACUCUAGGAGAUAUAGUGGCUAGAGGGACCGAGGCAGGGGAUAAGACCAUGUCUCAAAAAGAAGAUGGACAGACAGAUAGGAAGGAAGAGAUUACAUCUUUGCUCUCUCACCCCAAACCCCACAGCUAUAGAAGCACAGAAUAGGAAGUUGCUUCUUCCUUUGCAUUGAGUCUGGCCCCACUGGCAGGUCUCCAUUCUUGCUUCUGAGAAGGCUUAGCUGUAGAGACUACAGUGUAGGUCAGGUGAAUCCGAGCUUCAUGGCAGGGAGGGGCCUACCCCACCAAGCUCACUUUAAUCCACUCUUAAGUUGAUAAGGUGAUUCUGCCUCCAUGGAUAGCACCAGACCACGUAGGGAACUAGGGAACUGAAAUGGUCGCCGACAUGGCGUCGUCUGGGUUGAAAGACCCCACACCCUCACCCCCUCACACCCCCACCCCCACCCCGCUCAAGGCUCCAGCUUUGGUUUCCUGUGGAAUAACAGACGAACUGGGGUGUUCCAAGCCUCUAGCGCCGUGACAUCAGUGGACACAAUCCCAGGGCAUUACCUUGCUGUCAUUUUGCCUCCUGCAAAGCAGAUCUGUGACUCGCAAAGCUUGCUGUAGUGUUGCGAAUGUCAAAUCUGUACAAAUACGGCCACAUUUGGGCCUGUUGUGUUUUCCUUUCACACACUGAUACUUUAAUGACUUCAACCGCUCAGGCCCUGUCACCAUGUGGCACGGUGUCAGUUUUUGUAAUUAUAUUGUCCAAUCCUUAUGAGAUACUCAGACAGCACUCUCAGGCCAAUGGUGCUGCUGCCCUGUCAGCCUGGCAGCUCAUGCCAAGCCUAGGCAAUCACAUCUCAGGGAAGAAAAGCCCAGGAGGCCAAGGGGCUGAGCAGGCAGACGAGACCCAGGGAACCUCUCUAUCCCAGGACACUCCCAGUUUCAAACCCUGGGCUGGUUGGGCUUACUAUCCGGAGUUGUUCCUCAAAUUAGUCCAAAAGUAGAUCCACAGGCUCUUUCCACAUGCACCCUUUCUCUGUGUACUAGGGCUGUGGUAUGGGCUCUAGGGGUUGUGCAUCUUGCACUAUUUUGUGGAAGAUAAAACUUGCAAGCCCAGCAUAGAGCCUGCAAGCAAGUCACAUGACAGGAAACGGAUCUUGGCCUGCACUAAGGGGGAACAGAACAGGAGCUGGAUCUGUGCAAAGGCAGGUGUGAUUGAGACAAAUAGAUGAAAAUGUUUGAGCAGCUGCAAGUUCUCUGAGCAAUGGAAAUGUCUCUAGUGCCACAAGGUUUCCACUGUAGUUAUCACAAUAAACAUUUUCCUAUAGAGGAUAAAAGUUCUAAAUUUGAGCAAAGUUAUCUGUCUUUAAUACUGUGGGAAUUGUAGGGUUUUUGUCUUACCUUAGAAAACAAGUAAUUUUUCUACACUUAAAUUACUUAAGUCACCAAUUAAUAAGUUUAUAAUUAAUAUUUGUUCUCCCAAUGAAUUUAGCCUCACGCAGAGUGCUCCAGUCUGUUGCUUGAGAUAUUGCAAGGGCUCAUUUUUGUUCUCCUUCUAAGAUGAGCUUUUAUCUUUAAUGGGGUCACAGACAACUGCGUGUUGGCUUUAAUGAUUAAAAUGGAGCUGAUCCGUAGCCCCACCUGGUUAAAUUUCAAAAUUCGGUGGAUUCUUUGUGUUAACACUGUAUUUUGUGAAACACUUGAUAAGGCUUCUCUGGUGUCAAACAAACAAACAACUGGGUAGGGACUUUCAACCCUGGUGCUAUAAAAUGGAGGCCAGUGUUUCAUGAGAGAAAUUAAGUAGCAAGUUAGAUGUUGGCUACAGGAGUUCCAUGGCCAACUUUGAAUAGGAAUGUCAACUGUCAAACAAAAUUUUCUUAAAAUGUGUGUGUGUGAGUGUGUGUGUGUGUGUGUGUGUGUGUGUGAGAGAGAGAGAGAGAGAGAGAGAGAGAGAGAGAGAGAGAUUUAAUUAGCAGGCUAAUUAUCUAUCACAGAUUUAGAAUCCCAGUCCUUCCUGGGAAGUGGGAAAUGCUCUAUAAGAAGUGACUGUAUAUACAGAGACUGCAGAUUGAUUUUAAUGUUAAAAUGCAUACAACCUAAUUGGAAAUACCAAGUGUGUGUGUGUGUGUGUGUGUGUGUGUGUGUGUGUCCCUUGUCAUUGUGCAGUGGUGACUUUUGUGCCUCAUGGGGUACAUUCCUCAUAUCCCUGCAGGCUGCCAUGUCUGCCUGGUUCCUUAUAAAGAAGGCAGGAACCUGAAGGCGGUUGUCCUACCCGAGAUGUUAAGACCUGCAUCUGCGUGACAAUAGUUUUUCAGUCCUAGAAAGAAAGCAGAAAGCACCUAGACAGAAACGUUGCUUCUGUCGAGGAUCUCCAAAAUAGAUGGAUAUAAAUGAUAUUGAUUGAUUUUCAUUGAUUUUUUUUUUUAUUCCGUGGAGCCGGAGGAGUAUGUGAGCUGACAGUGCCGGUGGUUUCUAUUUUCUAUAAGAACCCCAGCAAAUUCUGACAUAAAUGUUUCCUGAACAUUUCGCUUUUUUUCCAGGAAACCUGCAUGGGAGAGCAGCGUCCAUCCAUGGGAACAAUGAGGCAUUCUGCUUUGUCUGCCUAUAGGAGCUGUGAGCUGUGCUCUAGCUAAGAAAUGCCAGCCACCUCAGCACGAUCUUUCUGCAUUUCACAUUAAUUUUAAGAACAGCGACUUCUGUUCUAGGGGCCCGGGCUGUGUAUAUUCUCCGUACCUCGCUCUUCUCUUCUCGGUUUUUCUCAAAUGGAUAGAUGCUUGCCGGGAGGAUGAAUGAGAAAAAUGGUGUGGUCCUGGGUAUUUAUUUCAUGACACUGCCCACAGGGGCUCGCUGGCCUGCAGGCGAGAUGCCAGCUACCAGCCCGUUGGUUCUUCUGUGAAAAGAUCCUUUCAGCUCUGACACCUCCUGGAGAGAGCUGAUUUUCCAGCAGUGGAGCUUGAUCGGGGUAAAUAAUUAGAGAGCUCAAGAGGGAAGAGACAUCACCCCAGUGCUCUCUCUCUCUCUCUCUCUCUCUCUCUCUCUCUCUCUCUCUGUGUGUGUGUGUGUGUGUGUGUUGUGUGUGUGUGUGUGUGUGUGUGUGUGUGUGUGUGUGUGUGUGUGUGUGACGCUGCUAAUGUAGCCAGCCCCUGUGACUCCAGGCUGAUACAGUCUUACAGCGUCUUUCUCUACAGCUGGGAGGGGGAAAGACAGGAGGGGGAGGGGGAAGCAGCAACAAAGCCUUGCUUUGCAUUGCCUUGAAAAACCAAAGAAAACAGCUCCUUAUCUGGUGUGAGGUGAACCUCCUUCAAACUGCUCUCCAGCGUCUUCUCUUCUGGAAUCUGCUUGCACAGGGCCAUUACCUGGGCACACUGACUUACUUCACGGACUUAUCAGGCUGUUGGAAUGUGCCGGACUCGGGGGUGGUGUAGACCGACCCUGGAGGGGCUAAUAGCUUGUUGCCGAGCCUUUACAGGUAUUCAUUAAAAGCCACUUUUAAAAUACAUUUACCAUUUAUAUGUGUAUCUCUUCAAAUAACUGCUAUUCUGAAACUUACUGGGUUUUUAUCCUGUCCUGUGUGGUAUUCGUGAAAACUUUCUAAGGUAGUGUUUCUCAACCUUCCUAAUGCUGCAACCUUAGGAACGGAUACAGUUACUCAUGUUGUGGUGACCCACAACAUAAGAUUAUUUUUGUUGCUACUUUAUAACUGUAAUUCUGCUACUGGUAUGCUAUAUCUGUGUUUUUUGAUGGUCGUAGGUGAUCUCUGUGAAAGGAUCAUUUGACCCCCCCAUGACUUCCAAGUUGAGAAACACUGACCUAAGGCAUAGUGAAGGGCUCAGGUUUUCUCUGCAUGUUUUUACUGAAGCAGGCCAAACUGAUUACUGAGAAAUAAUAAUUGGACUAAUGGUGUCUUGCUACUUAUGAGAAAGACACAGUUACUCAUGAAUAAUAUGAAAUAGGAUAUAACUUAAAUAUUAAAAUUACUAACUACCACAUGGUUGUAUAAUUACAAAGGCUCCUUAAUAAACAGGACCAGAGCUGGAAAAAUGUAUAAAAGAAAGACAGACCAUAGCUUUGGGGGCCUCUCUUAAGCUAAGUAAAACCCCCCGACCAGCAUCAAGACACGUAGCGGCCAGCUGGCUCCCUACUCAGGUUCAGAUUUACUCACUGUAAAACCCAGAAUUAGUGGACUUCAUCACUGGAGUCUUCCAUGAAGCCGAGGGAUAAAGGCUGCUUCAGUCACCAGCUUGGCAAGCCCUGCUGUGUCCUCGGUUUGUGACAAACUAUGAUAGCCUAGGUCCAUCCAGAGGGUAAAUCACCCACUGUGACAAGCUUGGUAGUCACCCUUCAAUGUUUUUCUUGCUAAAGCGUAUUCAGAUCAUACCUCCUCUAUCAAGACUCGCCCCUUCUUUCCUUCCUUCCUUCCUUCCUUCCUUCCUUCCUUCCCUUUCUUCCUUCCCUCCUUCUUUCUCUCCCUUCCUCCUUCCCUCCUUCCUUCCUUCUUUUCUUCCUUUCUUCCGUCCUUCCUUUCCUGCAUGUGUGUGUCCAUCCACCAACUUAUUUAAAAAGGCAGUUUGUCUUGGAACUAAAAGCAGCAAUAAUUGGUUGGUGCUAACCACCUACUUAACCAGCUUAGAAACUUCCUCCCCCUCCCCUUCCUCCUUUUCUCUACCAUCCAUUCUUCUCCCUCCCUCACUCCUUCCCUCCUUCCUUCCCUUCCUUUUCCCCUCCCUCCUUCCUCCCUCUUCCCUCCUCCCUCCUUCCUUCCCUUCCUUUUCCCCUCCCUCCUUCUUCCCUUUCCAAACCCUAGGGGCUUUUGAAGGCUGCUCUGAGGUUAAGGAGGUGUCAGAGAACUGGUCACCAGUGGUAGGAAGGUACGCACACUGGGCAUGGAGUGUGGGAGAGCCCACGAUGUUCUUGUCUUGGGUAGGGCAUAAGACAGUCUCUGGAGAACCUGGGGACGCUUCUCUCACUGUAGUGGCAGGGUCAAGACUCUGCGUCCUGGUGUCAUCAGAGAAACCUCUAAGGGAAGCAGAAUACAGAAUACGGGAACCCUGCCACCGGCAGGUCGGGCCCUAGCGGGCAGCAGUGCCUUUGUCUGCCUGCACCCCUCGCUGCGCUUCCCAAUGAUUUUUUAGCAACACAGAGUUGCCCCCCACUCCCUCCACCCCCUCGCGUCUGCAUGAGGUGAGCCUGCUGCAGCUGCGGGGUUCCUCUGACUUCGAAUUUCCUUAUUACACACACAAAAAGAGGUUCCUCCGGCAGGCAUCCGAUGGAGCCAUUCCAUCUGCUAAUGCCCGGGGAGGGAAGAAGACAUAUGUGCUUGGUCUGCCGCCUUAAACCAGGAGUCUGAAAGAUGGGUCUGAAGGCUGCAGGCAAGGAUCUCUUAGACUGAGGAUAAUAGACACCAGAGCCGCACUACCACAGACAUCUCCACCAGAAACGUGAGUUUCUCCAUAAGCGCAACAAGUCAGAUUCACAGACCGGAAGGAAUGGUUGUGUUGGGGUUCAUUGAGGACUUAGCAGAGGCUGCGUGAGGGACUGUGUCUGUGCUGGCAUCCACAGUCCCACAUGCUUAGCUGCCACUGUGCCCAUGGAACUAUUAGCAAAUGAAAUUAAAUACUUCAGUUGCUUAGUAACUAAUCCAGUCUAAGAAAGAAGCAAAAAAUAGAAUACAUAAAUUUAGAACUUUUAGGCCACGUGCCAAGCAAAAUAUUCUUGCUUUUACAUCCUUCCGAUUAUCUGCAAUUUGAAUGGGAGAAAAUAUAUUUCAGCGUCUAAGAGUAUGUGUUGAUAUUCCUUGCUAAAAGUGAAUUCUUCUCAUUGGUUGAGCACUCGUGAGACAUGGUCUGGCUUCCAGGUCGAUGCCACACUGGCCCUCAGAAGCCCAAGUAGAAGAUACUGGUGACUCUGGAAUUUAUUUUUCUGUCAUAAUCAGAAAGCCAAAAGGCAUUCGGUGAUUCCAGUCCUACGAAAGGAAAAGCAAAAAUCUGUCUUACAUAAUUUUGUAUAAAAUAAAAGCAGCAUUUCCUUUCCCAAGAGGUUUUCCAACCAAGACGCCACAACGUCUUUGUUUAAGUUUUUAUGCGACACAAAAAAGAAAUCACGGGUCACGUGAUGCUGGCGUUUGCAGAAAUACCACGAUGAAUAGAAAUUAUAGUAAUGCCGGUUGUUACCGUGUGACUUUGGCCUCCCUGGAGAGCAGUCUGUGUGAUUGUGGCUGCCAUGUUUCAGAACAGAAAGGAAAACAAGGGUAUUGGGGCGAGGUCUGAGUGGUCAGGAGCAUACUGGCUCUUCCAGAGCACCCCCUGGUGUCUUCACAGCCGUCUGUAACUCCAGUUCCAGGGGAUCCAGUGCCUCACAAUACAUGCCGGCUAAACAGCAAGAUACAUAAAAUAGAAAUAAAUGCAUCUCACGAGAAAAAGCUUAAGCCCUUCGGGAGUUCAUAUAUGUCUUUUAGGGUUUCAGCGUCUGUUCCCUGAGAACACAGCAAACUGUACAGUUGGGAAAGUGUGACAAUGCGGCGGUGUCUUGGCUCAGCUGCUUCUUGUAUUGAGUUGGCUGAGGUGGUAAAGCGUCAGACUCUGCCUUCUGACUCUCCUCCUUUCCCCAGGGAUGUCCUUCACGGAAGUCUCCUUCUUCUCUCGGCCCAGGCAGUAAGGCUGCAUUUGCUCAGGAGGUCUCUGCUGCUGAGUACCAAGCCCCGCUCCUACACUGACGUUUUUUAUGUGAGAACUGAGAAUGUGCCUCCAUUCAGAUUCUUCUGCCCUUACCUCAUGAAAUGGAAGGCCCUUUUUUUUUCCUUUUGAAAAUAUUUUUAAGAGAUUUAUUUAUUUUAAUAUUUUUGUGUGUGUGAGUACCUGCGUGUACGCAUGUGCACCUUUCGUGUGCUGAGUGCCCUAGGAGGCCAGAAGAGAGCUUCAGAGUCCCUGGAACUGGAGGAACUUGUGGUUGUGAGCCCCAUGUGGUGCCUGGAGCUGGGCCCUGCACCCUCUGGAAGAGUAGAGUUUCUCUUAACCUCUGAGCCAUUGUUAAUCCCAUGGGUGUGAGGAGAAAGAUCACCAACCCUAAUCGUCAUGGUCAGAUUAAUUAAAGCGAGUGCUUUCAUUUGUGUGCACAGGCUGCCUCUCUCUAAAGGUGGGAUUCAAGAGAUCAGCACUGGACAUGGGGAAGAUAGGGGUUUUGUUACUCAGAAGUAGGGAGUUUCCUAACAGGAUUUGGCAGGAAAAUGGGCGGAGUCACAGAAGCAGAACAUGAGCUUAAGGAGCCAGUCAUAGCUCCUGAGACAAAGACGUGGCUGUAAGGUGGGCAUAACGAGGUGAUCAUGACACCAUUUAGAAGCAAUGGUGUGUCUGCCGUUUCCUGGAACGGCCAGUGCAGAGCCGUUUGUAGUUAAAGUUACAGGUGGGGCAUAGCCCAGUCCUGGAGAAACAGAUUUAAUCAUAAAUAGGAAUGAACCCUGUUUGUUCUUACUAUGAGGUGGAGGCAGGCUGUUUUAUCACCAUCUCUACUGCCCCUGAAGGCACAUGUUAAACCAUGUUUUACAGUGUUCCUCGGUGCAGUCUAAGCCCUUUGGGUGGGUUAUCAAGUUCAAAAUGGCUAGCAAAGAUGACUCCUGUCACUCCAGAGUGUGGCCAGCCUAGGCAUGGCUCUUGGCUUUGAGUGCCCAGCCACCCUGCUAGCCUAGUACCCUGUGCUCAUCCUCCUGUCUCAGCUCUCCCGUAUGCUAACACUCAGCCUUCGGUAGACACUCCCUAACAAGCAGGGACUUGCUCCAACAUAGAAAAGCAGUCAGUUGGCUGAGCAUGAAGCCUGUUUUUCUCCACUCCUGUGUGGAGCUACAGAGCUCAGGGAAAAUGCACUUCCGUUUGCAAUGAACCCAACCAUUUAAAUGUUCUUCUGUCCGUAAGUUUAGUUUUUAUAAGAAUCUUAACCAUUUACAGAAAGGUUGGCCGAUACGUUGAAGGGCUAAGAAUGAGGGGUGAAGGUCACUGGCGAGGCCAGAAGAUUAGUAAAUAACAGUUCAACGUUAAGUUCAGGCAUGCUGGGGUCCAGCGCAGUGGUGGAAAGCUAACGUGGGUGAAGCACUGGUUGGACAGGAUGGAGAUUUACAUUCAAGCCAGCAAAAUAAAGAUAUAAUUGCCCAGUCUUGAACUGAGGCCCCACCAUACACCUGGCCUUUCAGCACUAGGUUCCAUCAGGGAAGGGUUUCAUGCAUGCUGUGGAUGCACAAGGUAGACGCUGUACUCAGCAUUCGCUGCUGAACAGAUCAUAGGAUUUCCCAUCCUUAAGGAUUUUCUUUUUCCACGGAAAGGUAUUUGAUGUACCUAGUGGGGAAAAAUACAAGAGGUGGGAAUAAACGCUACGAUCGGAAUCAGCUGGGUUAGCAUGAAACCCAGGAGCAGCACCAAGACGUCCUGCAAGCCCUGGGCUCUGGUCCCUGAUGAAUAACCUACCUGUGGGAUUUGAGCUGGCACAUCUCUGCUCAGGCCUCCUGUCUGCUCCCUCUUUUCCACCGGGCUGGAUGAGGAGAGGUUGCAGAGAGCAGCCGACGCGGUCUAGGAGCUCUUUGCAGUCAGUUUGUGGGAGGAAGUGUCAAGCUCUGUGAUAGCUAGCUCUCAGAGGCAAGGCAAGGUGGCCAUUUUGGAUUGAAUCUGGGUCAGGGAUCUGAAGGUAACCAUCUAAAUAAUCUGUUCAAGAAGUUAAUAGAGUAUGUUUACUUAACCUAAUUCUCACAUCAGAACUACGGUCAGCUCGAUGCAAACCUAGACGUAUCUGGGAAGAGGGAAUCAUAACUGGGAAAACACUUCCCCUCUGUAAGACUAGCCGAUAGGUAAGUGUGUUGGGUAGUGUCCUGAUUGUUGACUGAAGUGGAAAGGUCCAGCUCUCUGGGGGCAGUGCCAGUCAUAGGUGGGUGGUCCUUGGGUAUAUAAUAAAGCAGACUGAACAGAUACUGGGCAGCAAGUCAGUAAGCAGAGUUUCUUUGUGGCUUCUGCUUCAGUUCCUGCUUCCAGGUUCCUCUCUUGAGUUCAUGCCCUGACUUCCCUUGGUGACAAAAUGAGACCUUAGAUAAUUUGUUUUUCCUCCCCAGUUACUUUUGGUCACAGCAUUUUGUCACAGCAAUAGAAACCCUAACUGAGACAAUGGUGCGAGAGAUUUAGAAUAGAUGUCACCUCGUUCCUGCUUCCCAGACACUGUGUGGCUGGUCAAUGUUAGUUUUUAUCACUCUGAUCGCAUCCGUCCAAAAUCCAAGCCAUGUAAGGCUCUCUUCUGUUAUUUACCUUCCAAAUUCAGAAGGUAAAGAACUAAGUUAUUGCUUCAGCUAAUAUUUUCUCACAUCUCGGCAGCUCGUCUUCACCGUCAACUUGACUGGAUUUAGAAUCACCUGGGACAUACACUUCCCGGUGUGUCUGUCUAUUGGAAGGUUUCCAGAGACAUUUAACUGAGGAGGGAAGACCCACCCUAAAGGUGAAUAGUACUCUCCCACAGUCUGGGGUACCAGGCUGAAUAAAAAGGGAAAGGAGAGAAAGUCACUGAGCUGUGACCGGACACGUAGGCCCCUGCCGCCAUGCCUUCCCCAGCAUGACGGACCACUAGCCGAAAUAAAUCCUUCCUUCCUGAAAUUGGUUUUGUGGAGCAUUAACAAUGAAAAAAAACAAUUACAUCUUUUAAAGUCACUUGUAUAGCAUGGAUUUGGGUACAGAAGAGGGGAACACUGUAUCCAUCAGGGUUUAAUUAGAAAUAAUCUUCUAUGUCAUUGAAACGGAUUCUUUUAGAAUCUACCUGGGACACUUGAAUUAUGAAUUUAGCUGUGAGCCGUUUUAAAACCGGUUAUCUCCAAAGAAGAUAUGCUUUUACCACAACUUGAUCUGUGGCACUCACCUGGCAGUCGGGGAGCCACACAGGCCCCGUGGCCCUGGACAGAACCUCUGUAUUCAGCCUGGUUCCCUGACUGCCCCAGGGCUGGCCUUCUCCAUAGUCUAAAGUAACCCCACCAGGCCCCUCCCCACACAAAGCUCUGGAUCCCCUGUUCCACGUUCCAUGUCCUAAGAACAAGCUCCCAUGACAUAUGGUUGGCCCACCCACUCCCAGAGAACACUAGCUGAAGGGCCUAGAGGCUCACUCCUCCCAGGAUGCCCUUCCGCCUGUCUUUCCUCUGCACUCGUCUCCCAAGGCAAAAUCCUGGGAAACUGGCAAGGCUGCCUGUCAGAACCGUAACUGAACAAUUCCUGCUCUUACUAAGGUAGACUUCCUGGAGAGACUCCUGCCAGCAGAACUUCACUAACGUCAACAGAGCAAGGCCAGCUGGUCAUGCCUUCCUGCCUUCAUGGUCUUGGAGAAAGUUCAAGGAGUCUGACCCCUGAAUGGCAAAUGGGUUCUACAGCAGUGAAAACACAAGGCAGGGCCAGGAAUUCCUCAGAGGACAUGUGUGCCAUGUUAGUUUGUGACCUCAUAAACUUCCUAAGCCACAGGAAGGGAAGUGGGAGGAAAGGGAAGAAACCAACCGGUAAAGCCUGGGUGUCCCUGUUUCCUGUGACUUUCAUAGCCUCUUCUGCCACCAUGUCUCAAUCUAUGUUCUAAACUGGGCCAGAAAAUAAGGUCCCUUUACAGAGUGCCUACCCCCUAAAGGGAGUGUUCUCAUCCAGGGUGAGAACCCAAGGGUGGGGGCGCUAAAGCACAAUAAAGUAAAUAAAAGAUCUUCCGUGUGGGAGAGGAGCACCUUUAGUAUUUACAGGCAAAAGUAACCUGGAGCACAGAACUGAAAGUCUCAGGCUCCAAAGAGGAGUCCACGCUAUGGACAGACAGACAUGGGAGUCCUGACACACAGACACAGGAGUCCUGGCAGCCUUCUACAUCAGUGAACCUGUGCUAUGGGCACACAGACCCAGGAGUCCCAGCAGUCCUCCAUGUCAGUGAGCCUGCACCAUGGGCACACAGGCACAGGAGCCUCAGAGCCCUCUGCGGUGAGAAUCACUCAGCAUGGCUUAGAUCCUCUAUGGGAUGCAUCCAGCACUCCCCUCCCCAGCCCACAGCCCACGUAGCUGCAGUUAUGCCCGCAACAUGGUCCCCUGGGGAAUGCCACUCAUCACACACGUUAAAGGCAGCAUGUCGAGGUUCAUUGUUUCGCGUUUUUAAUCUCAGACACCAGUGCAGAAGCCCAAGAUGUUUAUUAUAAUUUUGCAGACACCGCCAACAAAAGCUUUACUCAUGGAGGAAAAAUUAAAUGUUAAGGUUGUGUGGAUGAUAGGGGAGGGGGAGCCAUGGAAGGCUCAGAAGGAUAGAGAGGGGAAGCUGUCAUUUCCUUCAGGGAAGAAAAACAGGGUGAGUCAUAAACAUAGCUUCGUUUUCAGGCCGGCAGUUCUUACAGUAAUGUGUUUUGUCAGGCAGGUCCUCCAUACAGAUUAACAUGAAAUGCCCACCGAGGUCCACCUCUCGGCCCUCGUGUCUGGGAACACCGAGGAGUGUUUUGAUGAAUGUCAGUUAAUGACACUCACGCUCUUGAAAUCAGCCCUGGCAGCCAGGGCUGGGGGCUGGGGGAGGGGAGUGCCCGUACAGAGAGGAGGCAGGGAAGGUUGUUCCUGGAUUCCUAAUAACCCACCUCGAAGGUGGACCAGAAACAAAAUCAGGAUGUCAAGACCGGUGAGCCUGCCGGGGUUAUCAGGCCCAAAGCUUGGAGCACAAUUUCCAAAAGUCCCCUGGUAGGAGGUAUUUGUGCUUGAAGAGCACAAGGCAGGGCUGAUCUCAGUGGAGGCGGAAGAGCAGCCACUGAUGUCCUGGGACCUUACGGCUAUUCCUCAGUAGUUAACACUUCUGACUCUGUCCCCUCCCUACUCCAUCCAGACACAAACCAGACCUGGAAGACUUGGCCUGCCCAGCCCUUUGUGAUUGUAGCAUUCAGACUUUCAGACCCUGAUAAACCUGAGGAAUUCAAUAAAGGCUGAGGCUGCAACAGCUCUCUGUCACUCGCAGACUUAAAGCCCUCCUCUCCAGUGACUGGCAGGUGGGAUGCUCUCAUUCCUCAGGCCUUCCUCUUGAGCUUGACUGGGAGGACUUAGCGUUGGAUUAUUCUCUUACUGUUGGGAGGAAGCGCUGUCAGUGGAAAUUGCUGACUAAUUUUCUGGUUGUGUAGCUGACAGUUAAUGCCUAGGUCUGUUAAUCCUCACGAACAAAGGCUGACAGGCUACCUUGGUGUCCUGCACACAGUGGCGGUAGCCAUCUCCCUGGCUUACCUUCGGUGCUUACAUGCUUUUGAAUGGUUUGUGUUUUGAAUAGCUGCUCGCCAAAGUCUACAGCACCGUGCCCAGCUUCUUAGACAUUAAAUCAUGAAGGAAAUCAAGAUCCAGGUGGAAAAUUCUCUUCUUGUGAGCAGAACAGGGGUCCCAAAGGCAAGAAUAAAACUAAAACACUCUGGGCUCCCCUGUUCUCAUUUGUGCCCUGUGAGAUGGCUCCUCCCCCCUCCCCCUCCCCCCCUCCUCCCCUCCUCCUCCCCUCCUCCUCCUCUCCCUCCUCCUCCACAUCAUCAGGAGUGAUCUGCCCAGCAGCCCACACUGUCCCCAUUCUACCCGAGAGGAGAAUAAGAUACAUGCGUCAGGGGAACUACAGAGCAUCAGUCUUAAGCAAAGUCACAAUGCUCUCUGAAAAGCUUAUCUUUCAGAAGGAUUUUAACUAUCAGACAGGCACCCAGGGCACAUACCUGGAAUCCCAGCACGUGGGACACAGAGGCAGCAGAGGUAGCAGGGGCAGGAGGGCCAUGAGUUUGAGACCAGCCGAGACUAUAUAGCAGGACACUUAGUCAAAAAAAAGUGGGAGGUUGGGUGUGGUAGCAGGAGACAUAGCUCAGCUGGUAAAAUGUUUCUCCUUCAGCCUAAAGACUUAAAAUCAGUUCCCAGAAGACACAGGAAAAAGCUGUGUGUGGUGGCACUUGCUUGCAAGUCCAAUUCUGGGGAGAAAAAGGCAGGAGAGCCCCGAGGCUGGCAGACAAGCCAAGCUAACUUAAUGAGCAAGCCCUAGAUCCUAAUGAAACUCUGUCUCAAUAAACAAGGACAGUUCCUGAGGAAUGGCACCCAAAGGUGUCCACUCACCUCCACAGGUGCCUUAGGGGGAGGCGGAUCACUCCAGAUGAUAUGGGGGAGGUACCAUCACAAGACACAGCAGAGAACAAGGGAGCCCAGAGUGUUUCAGUUUUAGUCCUACCUUUGGGACCUCUGUUCUGGUCACAAAAAGAAAAUUUUCUACCUGGCCCAUGAUUGCCUAUGAGAAUUCCUUUAUGACUUAGAAACUUAUUUAUCCUCAUUGCCAAAGAAAUGAAAAUAAAAAUAAGUUAACUACCAACUGGGAAGAGUACCUCUUGUACUUGCACACCAGUGCUGAGCUUUUAAAGCUUUUAGUCUUGCACACUCUGGGCAAUAAUUAUUCUCAAACCCUAAGAUGAUUUCCAAGAGCUGAGUUCACAGCAGAGGGCUGCCUUGUACAUUUAGAACUAGCGUUACGGAAGGGAGGGGCUUUUAGACAGGAAAAUGGAGAAUAUGUCCACCACCUUCUGCAGCAGCCUACCCAUCCAGAACCUGCCCACCCUCCCCCUUCCAUGAUUAGGGGUACCCUGCACUGCUGCUGGUUCAUCAUCUGGAGAUUACAAAGGUGCUUACCCUGUUUGGCCCUCCUUUCACUGGAAGCACAUGCAACUGGUAGGGAUGUAUCCAUUUUCUCACUCCCAAACCAGGGUUAACGAUACCCUCACAGUAGAUGACCUCAUUAGGGUUUCUAUUGCUACAAUGAAAAACCAUAGCCAAAAAGCAAGUUGGGAAGGAAAGCAUUUAUUGGGCUUACAUUUUGAUACACUGUUCAUCAUAAAGAAAGUUAGGACAGGAACUCAAACAGGGCAGGAACCUGGAGGCAGGAGCUGAUACAGAGGACAUAGAGGGGUGCAGCUUACUGACUUGCUCUCCAUGGCUUGCUCAGCCUGCUUUCUAAGAGAACCCAGGACCACCAGCCCAGGGAUGGCACCACCCGUAAUGGGCUGGGCCCUCCCCCACCAUUCACUUAUUAAGAAAAUGCCUCACAGUUGGGUCUUAUAGAGGUAUUUUCUCAGUUAAGGUUCCCUCCUUUCAGAUAUCUCUAGCUGUGUCAAGUUGACUUAGGACUAGCCAGCACACAAGAUGACUACCAGGUGGGAGCUGAGGUACAUGGAAUGAGACAGUAGGUCUCGGUGUUUUCCGGAACUUUCAAGUCCUGCCAAGUGUCUCUUGUCCCUCCUCAGCAGCCUUAAACUAGGCUACUGCUGACUUUUAGUUUUUAGGCUGAGUCUCUGGUGUCUGGAACAGCAAGGUGCUCUGAAGGUGAACAUUUUUCUCAGGCCCCAGCCCAUGGAGACUAAUUCAGAAAAGCAACUGCAUUGGGCCAGAGAGUACCAGGGAACAGCCUCAAACUCCUAGGCCUAGUCAGAACUGGCGAGCUACCUCAGACUCCUGGGCCUGCUUCAGGCUCCUUCCUCCCCAACCCCUCCUUCGGUUUCAAGAUUACACUCUGGCAAAACACUAAAAUCGAAGCGAUUAUCUCUGUCAGAGAAUUUCAGUUCCUGAGCCAGUUACCACUGGCAGAAAUGUCAGAGGUCCCUGGAAAGGCGGGAGAAUUUGGGUCUGAGAGCCCAGACCUUAGCCCUGAAGAGAGAGGGUGUCUGCCCCACAGGGCACAGGAGUGGUUAGGUGACUGAAGUAGGACUUCAGGCUCUACUUCCAAAAGUUCUUGGCAUAAGGUGUAUGGAAUAUUCUAGAGAUACAUAUGGUAUAGUGUAUGUACCAUAAAUAUUCCAUAUGUCCACUUCCUUAAGCCCAUCUCUACAGCAGACCUGGAAGAUGAUCUCUUACCCAGGUCCCAGGUAAUGUGUGCCUUAGAAGAGCAAGAAACCGGAAGAACAGCGUGUGGUGGCUGGGUGCUGGGUUCUCUGGUUUCAGAAGGUCACAAUGAGCAAGCUCUGGGUAUAAGGUAGUCGUGAUGACUAAUGGGCUCCAAAAUGUGUGCUUAAUGUUGGCAGCCUUGGUUAUAUAACACUGCCCAUUGCUUUUACUCUGAGAACCUUCAUCUAUGCAUCCCCAAACUUGAGGCCAUCUUCCCGAUGCUGCUUUCUGAACCCUGAGAUUUACGGGUAUCCACCAUCACACCCAGCUUUGAUAUUGGGGAGAAAACGUUUCCAAGAAUGUGGUGGACCCUGGGAAAUAACGGGCCCCAUUCCCAAAGGCAUUCUUAAGACUGGCUGUUAGAGUGUACACCGCCCCUCGGGGCUCGCCUGCCGGAGUUGUCUUGGGAACCCCUCACUGUGUUGUUGGGGCUCAUCUCUGUGGAGACAAGGAAGCCUGUGUGAGUUCUCAGCCAUGGUGACUGUGGUAAAUGAAGGUGACUAUAAAUCUUUAUUCACCCCAUUUCUCCUGCAGUAAAGGCGGGAGACUCAGCUAAUUACAAAGUCUGUCUUGAUGACCACCACCUCAGGAACUCAGGUCUCUGUGGGUGCCCCAUGAGAACCUCGAGAGUACAGCAUGUCCGCCCAAAGCCCCUGCCAACCUAGUCAGUUAACUCCGGGAAGGAGCUACUUUGCUUUCCUUUGCUGUUGGGAGCCCACUGUAGCAGUAAAGAAUUAGUGCCAGCCAUGAACCGGAGGCUGCUUUGAGGAAGCGCUGAAGACAUUUGCAAUAUAGGGACAAGCCCUUACAACCUGUGAUUUUUUUUUUCCAUAAAAACUGCUAAGCUCCCUCCAGGAAAGCUUGCUUCAAGCUCUUCUUUCUCAGUCUCUCUGUUUAUAAAACGGAGACAAAACCGACACCUGGUGUCACUAGGUCUGAGGUCUCUUCAGCUGAGAAGACACGGUUGUAAGGGUUUUACUUUUCCUUUCUCCCUGGCUUUUCUUAGAAUCUCUGUAACUGUGUGUGGAGCCUCGAGCCGGGAGGGGACGAGGAAUGGCACUGGCUGGUUGUAUAUUUGCGGCAUUACACACCAUCUCUCUUUUUUUUCUGGCAAUGUGUGACGAGACUGGGGGCGGGGGUGGGGAAGUCUGGAAAGGUCAGUGUCAGAGAUGCACAAUCAGAGACAGCGCCAGCCCUACAACAGGAACUCCAAUGCUCUCUGCCUGUAUUUGAAAGGCCUAUGAAAGCACUAAAUCAAACAGGAACUGAGCGGUACCUCCAGGGGACUGUGAUAGCUGUGCCCUAGCUCUUUGUCAAAGAACUUGUUCACACAGGAGAAAGCCCUGCAUGGAAGCCCUGGCUGACAGAGCCCCCUCACCUCCCCCCAUUCUGACCCUCAGUUUUAUAACCUAGCUUCUAGUCAGGCCAGCAGGAUCAGAAACCCUCCAUUGGCCAUGAAGCUCACCCGAGUUCCAAAGCUGCUUUGGCUGAGGAUGAAGUGUGGACGUCCUUGGAGAAUGAAGACUGAGGCUGUCUCAGGGGGACAACAGGGCAGUGGGUUUAUUCUGGGCCAGCUGGUGAGGUCUGAAUUGGUGAGAGCUACAGCCUCAGACCAAGCACGUGUGGUUUGGUUUUGAGACUCAGAGGUGUUGCUAAUCCUGUUUUAGCAAUGGAGAAACUGAGUCACAGGCCAGCAUAGGAUAUAGCAUUUCCAGGUAAGACAUCACCUCUGGAUUAUAGAGAUGUAUCCUGAUGUCCUCCACCCUCUGUGGCAAAAAGACUUUACCUUGAGCAAAGCCUAAGGAAUUUUUGUUUAAGUAUUCCUAUUUAGUGAUGUCAAUACUUAAUUAUGCAGAGAGUUAUCAGGGAAGCCAUGUUGCUCCCUUCACUCUGGUAUCUUACCUUGUGUUUCUCACCUUCCCAUUUCUCCCAUGAGUACUCAUGUAUGGAGCGCCUCCGUGUGCAGUAAGCUGCCUCCUGUUCCUAGAAUUCCACAGUGUGUGUGUGUGCGUGUGUGUAUGUGCAUGUGUGUGUGUGCGUGUUCCUGUGUACAUGCCCAUCUGUGCACAUGUGUGUUAGAGACCAAAGAUCAAUAUCAGCUGUCAUUCUUCCAGGAGUCAUCCAUCUUAUUUUUGAAACGGGGUCUUUCAUUGAACCUGGAACUCACUGACUGAGCUAGAGUUGCUGUUGAGAAAGCCCCAGGAAUCCUUUCGCCUUCCACCCCUCAACAUUUUCAAUACAGGUAAGUGCCACUCCUGGAGAUCUAACUGAGGUUCAAGGACUUGAACCCAAGUCCUGAUAGCCUUGCAUGAACCACUUUCCUGAGACUGAGCCGUUUUUCCCAGCCCCUUAAACACACUGUUGAAGUGUAGUCCAGUACUCCAGGCGACCUCAGUGCCAGCUACAGGGCAGCAUCAUCAGCUGCUGCAGUAAACCCCACAAAGUCCAAUCACAGUCUGCAAGGCCAGUGGUCCCUGUGCCAAGGUAGCCGUUAAGCUGCCUGGAGCAGUCGGGACUUGCGGCUUGGUCUUUGAUUUGCUGGUCAUUUUGCCACACAGCGGCUGGGGAGUGUGCUGGGUGCCUGCAGGUCUGAAAGUGAUGCAGGUGUGAGGCUGUGUUUCCACUGUCUUCCCAGCUAGGGCUGCACUUUCGAGAGGUGGGGACUCCCUCGUUCAUUCUCAGAAGCCAUCCCUGAGCACUGGUUGGCCUAUCCGUAACUUAUUCUAUCCUGGAGCAGAUCUGUGAAUGUUCCUUCCUUCCAUUAAAGAUUUAUUAUCCUCCACGACUUCACUGAUGGCUGCACUUUUAAGAAGAGAAUGUCUUGGGAGAAAUACUGGACAGAAGGCAAACCUAUCAUGGCAAAAGUCAUGGGACCUUUCAAGAGAAUCAUCGCAGGGCCUCACAGCGGGAUUGUGGGAAGGAAGUGGGUCUGCUGAGGACAGAUGCAGUCAACCAGGCAGUUCAGGGCCUCAUAUGCUGGGCCAGGUCCCCAGACCCUAACUUCUUUUCCUCCAUGAGAAAAACUACUCCUCCAGCUCCAUAGUUGUGUGUUUUAUCUGACAAGGGAGCAUUUGGUGCUGUGAAAAUGGAAUUGCCAAGAACCCCCACUCGCCGAGGAAGAGACAACAGCUCGUUUGCUCUGGGCCUUGAGCCUUUCAGAAAGUCUAGAACUUCCCUGGAAGUUCUGAUGGAGCAGGCAGGGACGGGGUCCUGUAGGUAAUGACCUUGCAGCCAGCAUGAUUGAGAAGAAUUAUCGCAGCUUUGAACUGUUUGUGGUAUGUGUUUGUCCUCCCCUUUUAUUUGCCUCCCCGGGCUGGUGAAGGGGUUGUGGAUUUCUGGAGAUAUGUGCAGACCGCAGCUCUUAUUACCCAGGGGCAUGUCCCUAAAAUAGAGGGUCUUAUAGGAAGUUCCAGGGGGCAGGGAGGUAUCUUUCAGCAGAGCCUUACUAGAGCUCUGAAGGAAGUAGCUUUGUGUGUGUGUGUGUGUGUGUGUGUGUGUGUGUGUGUGUGCACGUGCGCACCUCUAUGGUAUGUGGAGGCAUGAUUGGGUAACAUGAUUGGGGAAGGCAAGGGACCUACAACCCAUUCCACAGUUCCUCAGGGUUGAUGGAUUCCCACAGGGCUCUUCACUUCCUGUUGUUAUCCAACCCCCUUAACUAGCCCAGGACAGAGAUGAGGACAGUGCUCAGGAGAGAGGGGGGGAAUUGUGGGAGGAUGACACAGAUUCAGAUUCAGAAAAGCAGAAUUUCAACAGCAAAGUAAAAGGAAGUCAAGAUGUCUUAAAAUCACCAUAUUUGAAUUAUUUGAGUAGAGACCACUAAGCACCUGUCCCUCAACUCAGGCCCUAGGAUCCCAAAGACAUGGAGACCUGGUGCAUAGCUAACACUGAUUUGGAUAAAAAGAGAAAGGGAUAUAUCACACCCAUGCACGCGUGUGCACAAAUACACACACACACAGACACAUACACACACGCACAAACACACUCACACGCACGCACACAGACACAUACACACUUAUACACACACAGACAAAUACACACACACAGAGACACAUACACACACACAGACACACACAGACCCACACACACUCACAGACACACACACAGACACACACACACACUUAUACACACACACACACAUACACACACACUCACACACACAUGCACACACACGCACACACACACACUCAUACACACACUCACACGAACACACACACACACACGCACACGCACACACAUGCACACGCGACACUGGACUUGAGAUGUGGAAAAAAACUCCAGUAGCAUGUAUAAAACGAAUUUGCUGACUGUGAUUUGCUCACAUGACACAGACAUUGUCUUCCCAAAGCCCUACUUAUUGUUCUGCUACCAAACCUAAUUUUCCUCUGCUCCCCCCACGAAAGCUACACCCACAUUCCUAGACCCAUCACAGAAAAAGCUCUGCCUCCCAACCUCCCAAGAUGAAUUACGAGCCAGGGCCAUGUGUCUAGCUUGGAGCAUGAUUGAUCUUUGCAGAGGAAAUGUUCAGGGUUGCUAAUGGGAAGCUAAUGUCUCUUAUCCGGGUGCACAACGUUCAGAGAUGUUCGCAGUCGCUAGGUAGGCAAGACUUGCUCCAGACCACGAUGGAGAAACUGUCUUCUCAGCAAUGCAGAGGCAGGCUUCGGUGGGCCUCCCCUGGGCCACUGAGGCCAGACAGUCAGAACUGCUAAUUUUUGCAAAUAGCCUGAUUCCACCGUGUUUAAUUAGCGUGAUCCUACUCAACAGAUUGGCAAGUGAAAACUGGGUUAAGGUAGGGGUGUGUGUGUGUGUGUGUGUGUGUGUGUGUGUGUUCGUAAAUGUUCUAAUCAUUGUGGUAUGCUAGGUGCUGGGGUUGUCAUAAGACUAUUUUUACAUGUACCCUCAUCCUACUUCCCCCCAAAAACACCUCAAAUACAAUAUUCAUCAAAAUAAUGAAGAAGACCAGGAUGUAGCUCUAUUGAUAGAGUCCUAACCGAGUAAGCACAAAUCUGUGGGUUCAGUCCCCAGCAUAAACAUAGCCUUGUGCUGGAUACUUAUAAUCCCAGCACUUAGGGGUUACAGGCCGAAGGAUCAGAAGUUCAAGACCAUUCUCAGCUACAUAAGAAGUUGGAAACAAGCCUGGGAUGUAUGACACCCUGUCUUUAAAAUACAUAAUAUAAAAAAAAAAAAAGAAAGAGCAAACAUGAGAUUGAGGCAUAGCUCCAACUUGGAAUUGGUGACUUGGGAAGCCCAUCCAUGCCCCCAGAAGCCAUUAUAUCACAUGAAAGAUGUAUGUCUGUAUGUCGCAGCUCAGUGGCCUAGAGAACCAGCAGCUCAGGGUUCAAGCCCGGGCUCUGUGGCAUCUGCUAGCUACAGCCGCAGCUACCAUGAUCAAUCGUCAUGCCUAUGCCCCAGUUUCCUUGGAUGGGAAACUGGUAAAACAAUAGCCUCUCUUUCUGGUCAAAACUCAGAAUGACAGGGCAAGGCCUGACAGCUGAGUAGUUAAAGGCACCUUCUCCAGAACCCAUAUGAUGGGUGGGAAAAAAACAAAUCCCACACGUUGUCCUCUAACCUCUGUACAAGCUCCCUGGUUUGCACACCCCCCACAUAAUAAACAAACAAACAAACAAAUGGUUUUGUUCUUUUUAAGAAAAGGUAACAACGUGGUGCAGAAUCUGAUGACAAGGGCAUAGUGUGGGUUCUGAGGAGCUCUAUAAGGAUCUGGGAGAGGAAAAGAAAGGAGUGGGGGUGGCUGGGUUGCUGAAGGCAGUGUACUGUACCUGCCUCUACCAAAAUAAGUUUGUCUUCACGGCAAAGGUGGAGAAUCCUGAAAUGACACAUCUGACCCCAGGUUGUUUUAAAGCUCUAUGUCAAGGCCAUUAGGAAGACAUGUGAACAUUCACAGCAGGUCCGUGGUCAGCCGUGCCUCAUUUGGGGCAGUUUCAAAUAUACACAUGAAUGCCACAAGUUAAAAGUACAUCCCAUAUGCUCAAGUCAACAGACAGGCUGCGUGGGGCUUAGGCUGUUCAGACACAAGCCGUUCGGUAACUCGUCCAUGAUGAGACAACGGUAUGGCCACUUUACUUCCUGAGCCUGAGUCAGAAGCCCAGUGCUAUGUUAGUGGGUUUUCACCUCCUCCAGUGUAGUGGUCUCUCCAUGAAUGCUGUGGAGAGACUAGAAGGCAGGAACCCAGGGAUGUAGUUCAGUUGGUAGAGUCAUGGACUAGUAAGCACAAAGCUGGUGAGGAUCAGAAACAAAGCCCUUGCAGGGGACUCCAUAGCCACAAAGCCACAAGAGGUAUUUCCUGUGUUUUUAGAAGUAUGCCAGGCAGGUUCUUCAGCUCUACCUUUUGGGUUGAGGCUAUUGCUUUGGGUCAUUUAUUUUAUUCUUUGGUGUGUUUGUUGUUGUUGUUGUUGUUGUGUUUGGUGUUUUGUUGUUAUUUUGUUUGCCUUUUUGUUUGGUUUUGUUUUUGAGACAGGGUCUUGGUAUGUAGCCCAGCCUAACCUGGAACUCAAGACCCUCCUGCCUCAGGUUAACUAAUUUGCCCAGAGUCACAGCAGCGACCCAGGGGCUGGGAUAGAAUCACUGGGCCUGUGCUUACUUUCCUUACAGUGCAUCCUCAGGCCCACCAAAGUCUGCCAGGAUGAUGCAGAAGGCCACGCCACAGGAAGAAGUGAGGUAAACAGGUUUCCUCAUUGCUUUGUUUCUGUAAUGAUCAGAUAGGAGAGUGGAGUUCCUGUCUGAAGAUCCUCAAAGACAUGCCUGUGUGACACUUUACCACCUACUCAGUGUAGGCGCGAUCAGUUUCCAGACCCAUGCAAGUGUGAGCUCUCCUUCCCCUGAUGUUUGCUGAGUAUAUGCCAAUACUGUUCUGCAUGGCUAACAUGUAUUCUGCAUGGCUAACAUGUCUCAGUGACCAAAUCCCCGGACCUGUCAUAUGCAGAGGGUUUGUGGUAUGGCCUUUUUAUAAAUGAGCCCCCAUGAAGGCCAGGAAAAGAAACCACGUGCUCCAAGUCAGAGCAGAAGAUAGCUUCCCUAGGAUCUGUUUUAAUGUUUGCUUCUCUACAACACAGGGUCUCAUGAAGCCUGGGCUGGCCUGGGACUCAACUGUGUAGCUGAGGCUAGCCUUGAACUUGAUUCUCUAGUGUCUCUACCUCUGGAUACUGGGAUUAUAAGCAUGUACCACCACGCCCAACUCAUGAGGUGCUGCAAAAAGAACCCAGGGCUUCCUGAAUGCUAGGAAGGCACGCUACCAACUGAGCCACAUCCCCACACCCUCCUCUGGGGAUAUACCCAGGUUCAAAUCCAAGGACUUAGCGACACACAUGCUAUGGGAUCUGGGCAUGCUUCUAACCUGUCUACUGAUGGCGAAAGCCAGAGAGCCCAGCUUCCCGUUUUAAGCUGUCCUUGGCACGUUUAACUGGUGGCCAUGUGGGACUGCUGGAAAAAGUUUUUGAGAUCACCAAGAGCUUUGACUUUCCUGCCCACAAAAACACAAUCAGCCUUGGCAGAUGUCCAACACGUGACCUUAGGUCCAUUUAAUGAAAACUGUAUUGAUUCAAAAAGAAAGAAAGAAAAACAAGAUGAGGUAGGACAGGCAGCAGAGAGAUCAUGACAAAAAUCUUAUGUGUCCUUCCUUCCACCAUUGCCGUGACCAGACAGGGCCACGGAGCCCAUGUGAAGGGAUCAGGACAGUUGCUUUGUUAACACACAAGCGCAGCGUGACACGAGCUCCAGAAAAGGCAUUGGCAGGAUUAACCUGCUGGGGAUAAAGAUGCAGCAGACAGGACCUGAAUUAAUGGAUCGCUGUGGCCAAAGUGAAAAAAGUCAAUUUGCAUGUAAUAUUAACGGUGCUAAUAAAAUCCACGCCCAGCCCCUCCAGCCCAGGAGCCUGUGUGAACCAGGACUUCAUUCCUGCACAUCCUAUCUCCAGCAUCUGCCAAGAUGUGUGAGUGCAAGCCGGCCGCCUCCAGAUAACCACUCGUCCUUGGCGCCUGCUAUCACACAGGCCCUUUACUGACUCCGCACUCAGGUCUGGAGGGAUGGCUCAGAAAUUAAGAGCUCUGGCUACUCUUCCAGAGGACCCGGGUUCAACUUGUAGCAUCCACAUGGCAGCUAACAGUCAUUUAACUCUAGUUCUGGGGGGGGAUCUGAAACCCUCUUCAAACAUCUGCAGACACUGUGCAUACAUGAUGCAUACACACACAUGCAAAACACAUAAAAUAAUAUAUAUACAUAUAUAAUUAAAUAUAUAAUAUAUUAUAUAAAAUUAUAUUAAUAUAUAAUUAUAUAUGUUAAUAUGUAUAAUUUAAGAAGAAAAUGCCUACCUGUCCCAGCUGUUGGCCUGACUUGUAUAUUCUGAUUCCUUGAAAGUCUGUGUGGGACUAGGGUAAGCCUGCAAGACUCCCGGGAUGUGACAUUUCAGUCUGGCUCAUUCUCAGAACAGGGUGAGUGAGCACCCAGAGAUCCAUGCAUUGCCCCAGACUGCCCUACUGCAGGUUACCAUAGGAACGGUGUAACCUAUACCCAUUCCAAAUCAAUACACUUACAACAGACAGCUGGAUGCUGGGCAGUGUGGGGGAGGAGAAGAAUGUAGGCAGGUGGGGACCCCUGAGGGGGUCCCAUAAAACACAUCUCAGCUCAUUCCAACCAAAGAGCAAAAGAGCCUGGUAUUUACCCACCAGCUCUUUACUGUGUGUGGCUGGUAAGCUGUCCAUGGAGAGUAAUGCCCCACCAUGCAGACCAGACAGAAGCCAGGAAACCCAGAGCCACGGCCUUCGUACAAGAAUGCCUAGGCCAUGUGGAGCAUAAAAAGGUGUGAGUCCGGGUGUGAAUGAUACCCACUGAAUGACACCAGCUUCUUGUGUACUUCAACAAAGAACUGGACCAGGAAUGUAGAAUAAAGAUAAGAAAUAAAAAGAAGAGAAAGAGCCCUCGAAACAAAGUGAGCUGCAGAGCUGGAACAGGUCUGAGAUUCAAAAGUCCCAGGCCCCAGGCAUCAUGGGCCAUUUACACAGCACCUGCCUUCCCUUGCAUUUGGAAGUGGGUUUUUCUCUUGUGGUCUGUUUCGUUGUAGGUAGCUAUGGCAAAAGGGAUAUUCCCUCCCAACUGGCUUGGGGGGGGGGUGGUUUGAGGGAGGCAGGGUGGACAAAGGGAGUCUUCCUAAACAGAUCUCUACCUCUUUCACUGACACAGGGCCAGAGCUCACCAGAAUGGACUAGUCCAGCUAGCCAGCUUGCUCUGAGGAUCCUCUGCAUCUGCCUCUGGAACGCUGAGAUUGCACUCCGCCAGCCGCCAUUUCUAAGGUUCUACAUCGUCAGGCUUGCCCCAACAGAGGAACAGAGUUUUAAAGUUUGAGUCAGCUGUUAUCCUUGUCAUGUGUGGAUGGCUCCUGAGGAAUGACAAAAAGAUUGACCACACACACAUAUAUACACGCACACUCACAUGCACACACUCUCACACACAUUCACACACUCACACAUACACAUUCACACACAUUCACUCACACACACAUUAUACACAUACACACUCACACACAUUUACACACUCACAAAUACACUCGCACACACUCACACAUAUGCACUCUCUCACCCUCGCACAUCUGUGCGCGCGCACACACACACACACACACACACUCCACAGGCCUCUGCUAUAGGAAAUAAAAGGAAGAUCUGGCACCAUCCUGGUCCUGUCUUACUCCUCACUGUCAUCCUGUCUCCACCUCCUUCCAGCAGCAGCACGCAGAGCAGCCCACGGAUCAUCAACUAUCUGCCCUCCUAGGACCACCCAGCAGCAACGCACGCACGUUCUACACUGGCCACUUCAGAGACCUCUGGCAUGGUGUUGUGGGACAGCUGGUGUUGUGAAUCAGGCCGUUGCCAAUCAGAGAACGGCUACUUCACAACACCAGGGUCUCACUGCACUGCAGGCAUCUGGCAGCAGCAAGCAGCAAGCAUCCAGACACCUGAGUACCAGGACACCAGCAAGAGCACCUGCCUGGGAGCCAACCUCCCCACCCAGGGUCACCCAGGACUCCUCCAGCUGUCUCCAGACCACAGGUGGCCACUCUCCAGCUCCUGCCCUGGUGGUGUAACUGGAGCUGAUGUUGAUUGUGACACAAAUAGCUCAACUUCAGAAGAGAGCACCAACUCUGGGCAGCAGUAGCUUCCCACAAAGGCAACAGCACAAACAGGUCUCCCAGGGUGAGGGAAGAUGUUCCCAGGCCCUUAGACAGGCUGAGGGCUCUUAAUUGAAUGUCUCCUCAGAGGGUCUGGAAACGCACGGAGAUUAUAGAACUGGGCCCUUUCCCCCUUUGUUUCCUUCCCUUUUUACUUUUCUGUUACUUUUUCUUUAAAUUGUGUACAUGUGUGGGUGUGGAUGUGCGUGCGUAUGUGGGGGUGGAAGGGUACGUAAGCCAGGGGUAUCUUCCUCAAUUUAAACUGUACUUAUUAUUCAUGUAUGCGUGUGUGCCUGUGUGAGUUUAUGUGUGCCGUGUGUGCAGUUGCCCUAGGAGUUCCAAAGACCGGUAUCGAAUCUUCUGGAACUACAGAUAAAGGGAUUAUGAAUGGGCAUAUGAGUUCUGCGAGCUGAACCUCCGAAAGGGCAAAAAGAAAAGUUCUUAAACCUCAUAACCAUCUCCUCAGACCCAUAUCUAUUCACUUGUUUAGUGUCUCUGUGUAUUCGUGCUGCCAACACACGGGUAGAGUGAUGGAUUCUCCACCCAGGGGUCAUUGACCCAGCAAAUGACCCUCUCCUAGGGGUCAACCUAAAACCAUCAGAACACAGUGAUGAAGUAGCAAUAAAAAUGGUUUCGUGGUCGGGGUCACCACCACAUGAGGAGCUGUACAUUAGAGGGCUGCAGCAUUGGGAAGGUUGAGAGCGCUGAUGUAGAGGUCAGAGAACAACUUGCAAGAGUUGGUUCCCCCUUCUAUCCUGUGGGUCCUAGGUUUGGCAACAAGCACCUUCACCUACUGAGCCAACCCACCAACCAUCCAGCUUGUUCUCUCAAUAAGAGUCUUAACUGAGCCUGGAGCUCAUGAAUUCAGCUAGGGUGGCCAGUGAGCAAGCCCUGGGGAUCCUCUUGAUUCUGCCUCUCCAGCACGUGUGCCCCCAUGCCUGGCUUUCAGGUGGGUGCUAGGGACCUAAUUCAGGUUGUCACGUGUCUUAGUUAGAGUCUUAUUGCUGUGAACAGACACCACGACCAAUGUAAGUUUUAUAAAGGACAACAUCUAAUUGGGGCUGGCUUACAGGUUCAGAGGUUCAGUUCAUUAUCAUCAAGGCGGGAGCAUGGCAGCAUGCAGGCAGGCCUGGUGCAGGAGGAGCUGAGUUCUACAUCUUCACCCGAAGGAAGCCAAGAACAGACUGAGCAUCCUCAGGCAGCUAGGAGGUCCCCAAGCCCACCCUCACAGUGACACACCUCCUCUAACAAGGCCACACCUUCUAUCAGCGCCACUCCUGGGGCCAAGCAUAUGCAGGCCAUCACAUCACGCCUGAAAGCACUUUACUGAGUCAACUCUCCACCUCAUUAGCAAUGGUGUCUUUGACUUGGGCAGUGGAGGAGGAAGAAGAGGUUACAGAGUGAUUGUCUUAGAGAGUGACUCCACUGUAAUCUGCUAAGGGCUCCCCUAGGGGCAGCUUGUGUUUGUGUCCCAAAUGGUCCCAGAUUCCCUACACAGCUGACUCCAUCCUCUGACAGCAAGAUUUCCACAGCUCUCCACUGGGCACAUGCACGCAUGCACACAUACGUAUGAGCUUGUCUGUGACAAAGACUGACCAAAGCCACACACUUGGUGUCACUAGGGCACUGAGAUGUCAGAGGCCCCUGUAAGGUCACACACAUGCUGUUACUUGUGUUGGCUAGUGGUUUUCUAGCCCCAGGUCAUAGCCAGAGACCCUUUAGACCGGAAGACCUAAGGUCUCCUGAACUUGUAUAUUUUUGUGUCUAACAAAAUUACUUGUGGCACUAUUUUUUUCAGAGCCCAGGCAGACUCUUAAGAGCUGUAUAGUAUCCUUUCUGACAUACUAAGGAAAAAUAAAGAUCUCCCUCUCUGCGUUUGCGUAGGAUAAGGACACCCUUAUCCCUGUGCUGCAAACUGUUUGCACGAAGGCUUGUGCUGGGGCCCCAUAGGAAGUGGACAAAAGCCAGAACAAAACCUCUGCAAACACUGCUGUGCGUGAAGGUCACCCAGACAGAUCCCGGGCGAACCAGAGCCACUUAGGUCUCUGUCACCUUAGAGUUGGAAAGAAGAGCUUCUUGCUUCCGACAAUCUCCUGUCCCUAACAUUCCUAAACCUCCUUAAGUCCUCUCCUAAUCCUCUCCAAGUUCCCAUCUACUCUCUUCCGAGAUCCUCCUGCCCUCCCCGUGCCCCGGCUUUAGAUGCCCAGCCCACCCUCUCGUGAGUGAUGCCUGAUUGGUGUCCUCAUAGAUACUUCAGAAAGAUCUAGUUUCCCAGUCGAGAGGAACAGGUAGAUGCUGGUCCAUGACUGUGGCAGGAAGCAGUCCCUAUCCUUUGGAGCCUUCCACCCUUCUGCAUUCCAUUGCAGGGUUUGUCUUUGCCUGGGGGCAGGGCUUCUGCUCAUUGACUGUUACAGCCUUCUCCCGGCUCAAUGGGCACUGAAAAAGACAAUGUCUGCUCAAUGAAUGGGUGAGUGUGCCCAAGCCAUGAGCAUCCUCCAUGAGCCUCCCUUGCGUUUUAUUUAAUCCUGCAUCUUUUAUCCCCCUUUGGGGGUGUUGUAUCUAUAGCUACUGGUAGAGUGGGUCUUCUGCCAGGCGCUGCCCCAUUCCUCUGUUUUUCCUAUCAAGUGAGCUGUGGAUCCACGCUAACAGAAAGUGCCACCAAGGUAACAUCCGUGCCAUCGGUCACCAGUGUCCCUGCUGUUCAAACCUAGGCCCUGAAGUCUGUCCCCUGAGCCACCGUGUCAUGAUGCGGAGAAGCUGGUCACUCCCAGUGACCCAGGAAAGCCCUCCAAAUUCUCAGAAUCGUCUACCCUGGUGUCUCUAACGAGGUGCCCCCAGCACCGACACACAGUCCUUUAUACGAGGCCUUCACCUUGUUUGAAGGGCUUCGUAAUGGAAUGUGAUUCGAAACCUUGUAAAAUAUGGAACGAGGUCACAUCCUGAGAAAAUGAGGGAAUCUUUUAAGGCCUAGAAGAAAGUCGAUUUGGAUUUGGCAUGAUACCAGAAGGUUCUUUUGAGGUUUAUAUAUGACCUUCAAAGGCCGAAGCUGCAAAUUCUGCAAAGGCCUACUUGGAGCUCAGUGUUUGGGGGAGCACAGUUUGGGGUUCUCUUCUCAGUUCGUAACUCCACCAGAGCACCACUCCAAGCCACACGUGUCUGCCCAUAGUGUGUCCUUCAUUCCAAAGUACAUUGUGCCUCACUGAAAGCAUCAUCAAUCCCAGCCCCAGAACAUUCCAGACCCUCCACUUGGGUGGAUAACGCCUAAGGGAAAGAAUCAAGAUGGUACAACCCUGCCUUUCUUAGCAGUCCGUGCUGCAGGAAGUGGUAAGCUUUUUUUUAAUUGCAUUUACUCAUCCACUUUACAUCCUUUAUCAGCCUUUCCUCUUCUCCCAGUUCCCCCUCAUAUAAGUCCUCCCUAUUCCACCCUCCAAGUGUCAACCACACCCCCACCCCCUGCACAUCAAGUGGCUGUGAGACUAGGCACAUUCUGUCCCACUGAGGCCAGACAAGGCUGUCCAGUUAGCGGGCUCCACAGACAAGCAGGCACCAGGCUCAGGGUCAGUCCCUGCUACGUUGGGGGACCUCUGUGAAGACCAAGCUGCUCAUCUGCUACAUGGGGCCUAGGGUCCAGCCUGCCUGUGCCUGCUCUCUGGUUGGUGGUUCAGUCCAGGUUAGUUGGCUCUAUUGGUCGUCCCGUGGAGUCCCUGUCCUCUCCGUGUCCCUCAGUCUUUCUCCCAGCUCUUCUGCUUACUUCUUACUCCCGAGCUCCAUCUACUGCUUGGCUGUGAGUCUCUGCAUCUCUUUCCAUAGGCUGCUGGGUGGAGCUUCUCAGAGGACGGUCAUGCUGGGUUCCUGUCUGCAAGCCUAACAGAGCAUCAUUAACAGAGUUGGGGAUUGAUUCUUGCCUGUGGGGUGGGUCUCAAUUUGGGGCAGUCAUUACUCGGCUAUAGCCUCCGUCUCUGCUCUGUCUUUGUCCCUGCACACCCUGCAGCAGCACACGUUUGAGGUGGAAGGUUUGUGGGUGGAUUGCUGUCCUUAUCCUCCCACUGGGGGUCCUGCCCUGCUGCAGGAAGUGGCCACUUCAGGUUCCAUAUUCCCCAUUCCUAGGAAUCUCAGCUAGAGCAGCCCCCUUAGACCCUCUGGGGCCUCUCCCCAUCCCAGUUCUCUGGCAUAUCCUAGAAGUUGCCCCCCUGUCUCCAGCCGACCCCCAUUCUUUUCCCCCUGCUCUCCCUAUAUAUGAUCUCCCCAGGAAGUGGUAAGUUGAUAUUUUCUGUAUCAUAACUUCUGUGAGGCCUAUGUUUACAGCCCAAUUCCAAAAAAAGCAGACUUUCUAAAGUGGUCCAGUGCAGACCACAAAAAAGUGUGGGCACAGUAGGCUUGUCACAUGGGCAUGUACAUAUAUGGACACACGCACACACACACACACCCUCAUAUUCACACACACACAUACACACACCCUCACAUUCACACACACAUAUACACACACACUCAUGCACACACAUCCAAAUUCACACACACUCACAGACACACACAUCUACUCACACACUCACACAUGCACACUCACAUACAUGCACACUCACAGACACAUUCACUCACACACAUCAACACUCACACAUUCACAGACACACUCAAACACAUACAAACAUAUAUCCACACACUCACACACAUCCACACUCACACACAUUCACACAUACAUACACACACACACACACACACACACACACACACACACACACACUUCAAUACCCAGUGUCUUGUCCUUUCUGACUGGUUAUCAUCAGCUGGCCUUGGCCAGUGCUUUUGGGAAAAACUGGAUUCAGAAAAGAAGUUUCCUUCUAACACUGAAUACCAAAUAGAAGAGUGUUUUCCUUAUUUGUUUCUGGAACCUGCAACCUCAGCACCCCUGGGAACUUACUGGGCAUGCAGUUAACCAGCCAUACCCCAGCUGUGCUGAGUGUUGGCAAGCACCCCAUGGAGUUCCACAGCACAUUGAUAGAAAGAAAAAGAAAUGUUGAGACAUGGUAAAGUGAGAUUGCACACACACACACACACACACACACACACACACACACACACACACACACUCCAAACCAAGCCAGCAGGACCAUGUUGGAAAGGAAUGAGCCAAGAAAAUGGUUUGAACAUUGUACACCGGGGAAACUUCCCAGCCUACCGUCUGCAGCUGUGUGAGAUGCUUGUGGCUUUCACUGAAUACUGAGUAGCAGUUUCUGAAACUCAUUCUUCAAAUCAUAGCAGUGAGUCUCCAGGGACCCUGGGCUGUGGAGUCCUGACCCCUCUUAUGUUCUGAACAAAUAUGCCCAAGGCAUGUCUGAUUCCUGCCACAGGGAGGCUGCAGGUACUGAUGAAAGCCUUAGCUUGUCUCACACUCCGCAUGCCGCAAAGACGUACAUGCUCUAUGGAGUCCGCAGCAGCCUCCUUUUAAGAAGGGGAUCUUGAGACUGAGAGGUUCGAUGACCUCCCUGGGGGCAUCGAAGUGGCUGCUUACCAUUGCAGAGUCAUGAGCCUUCUGCUGUCUCCAACGCUUUGCUAGGCCCUGCCUUUGAUGUGACCCCUCUUCCAUGAAUGCAUAUGAAACAGAGAAGCCAGCGUGUCCAGCAUAGAGUCCCCAUGUCCAUGGCAUCCCAGAAAAAUCACUCCUAAUCAGCCUCUGGGCUGACAACCAAACAUUAGGUGGUGGCGACAGUUAAAUGUGAACAUCCUGUGCCUCUUUGACCUCAGAAUGUGUUUGUUGUCGUCCAUGUUGCCUUGGUGAUAGUUAUCAGUAACCUUUAUGUUCACCAUGCGGAUGGUCUCAUUCAUUCUGGAUAAACCAGAGGCAAAGACCUUCUAGCCCUAAACACAGCCUCUUCGUUGGUACUGGCCCAGACAAAUACUUUUUCCUCUAAGAAAACCAGAGUAAUUCAGACCAAGAGUUCUGACCUUUUCCAUGAUGUGCACUGUGAUCAGACCAGGAGGAAGCUGUAUUCCACUUCCUGUCGCUACCCAGGAAAUUGCACGUAUUGCUAAUGGUGAGAGAAGAGCAUGUGGGCCUUGGGGAUAGAGUUGAAGUCCCAAGGUCUUCACCAUAAGUUUGAUUUUCAGUGGAAAAAUAAAAAAAAUCUGACCUCCUGUUCCCUCUAUCCCCUAAACAGAAACCCCCUGAAGGGGUGUCCCAUGGCGUUGGAAAUGCUAUUUUUAAAGACAUUAGCACGAAAGGUGCUGGUAAAGUGCUUGCUGUACAAGCAUUAGGAACAGAGUUUGGUCCCCAGCAUUCACAUAGAAAAGGUGGUUGGAGCAGCAUGUCCUUGUAAUCCCAGCAGUUGAGAGGCAGAGACUGGCAGACCUCUGGAGCUCGCUAGGUAACCAGCUAAGCAGCAGCAUCUCAGAGCCAAGAGGUAGAUGAGGAACGCUAAGAAACCUGCCCUGGGCCAUGCGGCCUGACCCUUUGUUUCCAGAACCAGAGUUUUUCACGUCUAGUACAAAGACAGUGCCCCCAGGACCCUGGUUGAAUUUACCAUGUGCUAACAUGUGUGUCAUCUCAGAGCCCAGAGCCCCCUAAGAAGGCAAGCAGAUUCUUCCCAGAUUUAUAUGAGGACCAGUUCAGGUCCCAUAGCUGGGCAGUGGGCUAUCAUACCCUCGGAGGUGGGCUAAUCAACUACCUAAAGGACAUUCUACUUAUACUCUGUAAACAACCCCUGCCAUGCACCCCCAGGCUGUGUAGACUUGACUGAUUUCAAAGGUUCCUAACUGUCUCCAAUUUAAAACCUGGGGCUUGGGGCCAGCAUGAUGAAAGUGAGAAAAAAUGCAAAUUAAAACAACCAUCAACCAUGCCUUUUGGGAAGAAAGGUCAUGUGGACCCACAGAAGUUACCUGUGAUCCAGUCUUCUCCCACUGGACCGUGAGUCCCUAGGGCAGGAUUCACUGUCUAUUUUGUUGCAUGGGUGUACCCAAAGGUCACACGGUAGGGCUUAGGAGACAGCUGGCGUUUGGUGCAAGACUGUGCUGUGAACGGCCAUGGGUUCCUCCACUGACAAUGGAAUGCUGGAAGCCCAGCCUGCCAAAUGUGUACGGUUCUCAUGGGAGAUUCAGGCUGUCUGCAUAUUAGCUCAGCUCAGCAGAAAAGGAAGGCCUCUGGGCCCAGAACCCCGUAUUGGUAAUCUGGGCACUAAAGCCUUCAGCAGAGGCCUCUAGCAGUGAACCUGUGGCUGUCCCAGACAAGCUUUGUAACUGGUUGCAACUUGCUGACCUUAUUAAACACAGGAAACAAUUCAUAUGCUGCCUUUCAUGAGCUCCAAAGCCGACCUGGCUCCUCUGAUGUGCUCACAUGGUGCCACGCCCUUUAACAGGGUACACAGCCACCACUGCGCAAGAAUAAACCUCUGGAACACAGAGCGUGGGCUGGCUCCCCCAUCAGGUUGGCAUGGUAGUCGGUAUGGUACGUCUGCAGGACCGCUGAUUUGCCACUCAUACAGUGUCCUGCUGGGUCUGUUAGCAGGAAGGUUGCUUGUGUUCCUCAGUAUGUCAAACACGGGCAGUGCUAACAGCCAAGUGGAUGCCCUUUCAGGCGGCUUGGGAAAAGAGCAUCAACAGCGACAACAAGAACACAGUGUCUCUCUACUCAGGCACAGAGGAAAGUAAGAUGGUGUGGCCUAGGGCCUAGAGGGGAGGUCUCAACAGCCAAAUCUUAAGUAACAGCUAACCCAGCUGUUCUGUCUGCAUUGUCAACUGGAACAAGAAGCCAGGAGACAAGGAGUUAAUGCAAAGCUCUGACCUUGUCUUUCUAUGCCACCACCCUCUGUGAUCACAAAGGGAUGCUGGCCUUCUACUCAGAACCCCGUGUGUUCCAGGAGAAAGAAAGGAGAGCUGGAGUCCAGCAGACUUGGAAAUCCUGGGCAGAACUCCAUCUCUGGACCCCAGAGCUAGGAACACUGGGGAAAGCCAAAGUGUCAUGGUGUUGGAGAUUGGUUCUAAUGCCUUAAUUCAAUCUGGAAGCUGCGUGUCCAAAUGCUAAGGUCCUUGUCACCAACUGGUUUUUGAUUGAUCAAUAAAGAUGCCAGCAGCCAAUGGGACCCUUAGGGUUUCGUGGGCUAGGAUACAGGAGAGAGGAAUCAACGUGACUUAGGGCCGGAGAGAGAGAUGAUCAGAUUUAGAGAUCCAGAGGGAAGAUCAUCUGAAAUGUAGGUGUAAAGGGAGGAAAAGUGGCCCCCAGAAGGGCUGCCCAGAAGCAUCUUGGGCAGCAAAGAAGCUAACAGGGCAGCAAAGUUAAAUGUAGAUCUAGAAGCUGUUGAGCGAGGAGUCCCGGACGGUAAAGCAAGCUACCCAAGGGAGGCUUAGAACUGGCAAACCCUUGAGUAGCCAAGGCAUUUCAAAAGUAAGCUUGUGUGUGUGUGUGUGUGUGUGUGUGUGUGUGUGUGUGUGUGUGUGUGUGUGUGCUUCAUUCUCCAUCCAAAGAGUUCCUAGACAGGCAGCUAUAGUCACGUGACCCGCCUCUACAUCACGGUAGAGAAUAAUAAAGCUAGAGCUGCAAGAAAGACGGCUCCUGAGCGCCCUCACUGCUAAUAACCAGCAGUGUCUGAAGAAAUGGGCGACAAGUUAACAACUGUUUUGUGGGGCUUCCUACUACAGUUAAGACAUAAAAAUGUGAGGGGCCGGAGGUGCCUCAAAGCUAAAUGCCCUCACUGGUCCUUUCAUUCUCAGCAUCUUAGAACCAUCUCAACUGUUUUAAGGGAUACAACGCCUGCUUCUGGCUCCCAUGGGUACUGCAUGCAUGUGAUACAAAUACAGACAUACAUGCACUCAUUCAUACAGACAAAAUAAAAACAAGUAAAUAAAUUUUAGCUGCUAGGCUGACAUGCCUCGGGGAAUGGGGGAGGAACCUAAAACCUCCACACCUUCACAGAUAAGCCCUGAGUUCUCCUGCCGUACUCAUCUGACUCCCAUACUUAACAGGGAUAGAACCACAACGUAGAGUGCUCUGAACUUCGACUUUUCUGGUAGUAUGGAGAAUUAUAAUAAUAAUAAAAAAAAUCCAGGUCAUUAAAUGUCCUUUGCUGAA